rnacentral:lncRNA from 1 species
UCCUCCUCAACGUACUACCAGCAGUACAACUCACGCCCCUGCAACCGCAACCGCAAUGCAAGUGGCCGCGCCGUCCCCCACGCAAACGUCUCUCCUACUGCUCGCAUUCGAUUCGUGGAUUCAGAGGCGUAGCAAGAAGAUCGUGACGGUUCUGUUGUGAUCAACAUCUUUCGAAUUUGACGAAAUGCCAUGAGCAAAAUGCUGACGAGAACACAAUGGAAGGAGAAACUGAAAGAAUAUAUACAGGGAUGUUGAUGAGAGUCCUGCAUCGGCCCAAGCUAUUUUUUACUCCUCCAAUUCCUUUCAAUCUUAUCUUAACUCUUACUACUAGUACCAAGAACAAACAAAGGGGAACCAACCCAAGACUACCAGACUAGAGCUAGGAGCGCCUCGCGAUAAGGAGAAACAGCGAGGGGCCGGGCGAGAAACCGCGCCGACCGAACCGACCCCUCGCCUUCACGCCAGAAGGAAAGCAAGAAGAAGAAGAGAAAAAUAAUCCAUCGCCUCCACCACCACGGAUUUGAUUAAUGAUCGGAAUCGGAGCGCGGUUUUACCGAAACGCCCCUGCGGGCCGAGAGUUGACCGGAGGGGGGGCACGGGCUGCCGAAUCCGAUCGAUCACGGCGGNNNNNNNNNNNNNNNNNNNNNNNNNNNNNNNNNNNNNNNNNNNNNNNNNNNNNNNNNNNNNNNNNNNNNNNNNNNNNNNNNNNNNNNNNNNNNNNNNNNNAGGGCUGAUUUGAGACGAUUUUUCCACGGCAGCCCGACCACAUACCUCCACGGUUUUUCCUCUAGAUCGCGUUUCUGCGGAGCUCGGGCGGAGCCCUGCUUAGACAAGGUCAUCACCAACCUCCGGAGCGCCGUCACGCUGCCGGAGAACUCUUCUACCUCUCCGUCUCUCUUGCUGGAUCAAGAAGGCCGAGAUCAUCGUCGAGCUGUACGUGUGCUGAACGCGGAGGUGUCGUCCGUUCGGUACUAGAUCGUGGGACUGAUCGCGGGAUUGUUCGCGGGGCGGAUCGAGGGACGUGAGGACGUUCCACUACAUCAACCGCGUUCUCUAACGCUUCUGCUGUACGAUCUACAAGGGUACGUAGAUCACUCAUCCCCUCUCGUAGAUGGACAUCACCAUGAUAGGUCUUCGUGCGCGUAGGAAAAUUUUUGUUUCCCAUGCGACGUUCCCCAACAGUGGCAUCAUGAGCUAGGUUCAUGCGUAGAUGUCUUCUCGAGUAGAACACAAAAGUUUUUGUGGGCGGUGAUGUGCGUUUUGCUGCCCUCCUUAGUCUUUUCUUGAUUCCGCGGUAUUGUUGGAUUGAAGCGGCUUGGACCGACAUUACUCGCACGCUUACGAGAGACUGGUUUCAUCGUUACGAGUAACUCCGUUGCUCAAAGAUGACUGGCAAGUGUCGGUUUCUCCAACUUUAGUUGAAUCGAUUUGACCAACGAGGUCCUUGGAUGAGGUUAAAUAGCAACUCAUAUAUCUCCGUUGUGGUGUUUGCGUAAGUAAGAUGCGAUCCUACUAGAUACCCAUGGUCACCACGUAAAACAUGCAACAACAAAAUUAGAGGACGUCUAACUUGUUUUUGCAGGGUAUGCUUGUGAUGUGAUAUGGCCAAUGAUGUGAUGUGAUAUAUUGGAUGUAUGAGAUGAUCAUGUUGUAAUAGAAAUAUCGACUUGCACGUCGAUGGUACGGCAACCGGCAGGAGCCAUAGGGUUGUCUUUAUACUAACGUUUGUGCUUGCAGAUGCGUUUACUAUUUUGCUAGGAUGUAGCUUUAGUAGUAAUAGCAUGAGUAGCACGACAACCCCGAUGGCAACACGUUGAUGGAGAUCAUGGUGUGGCGCCGGUGACAAGAAGAUCGUGCCGGUUCUUUGGUGAUGGAGAUCAAGAAGCACGUGAUGAUGGCCAUAUCAUGUCACUUAUGAAUUGCAUGUGAUGUUAAUCCUUUUAUGCACCUUAUUUUGCUUAGAACGACGGUAGCAUUAUGAGGUGAUCUCUCACUAAAAUUUCAAGACGAAAUUGUGUUCUCCCCGACUGUGCACCGUUGCUACAGUUCGUCGUUUCGAGACACCACGUGAUGAUCGGGUGUGAUAGACUCAACGUUCACAUACAACGGGUGCAAAACAGUUGCGCACGCGGAACACUCGGGUUAAGCUUGACGAGCCUAGCAUGUGCAGACAUGGCCUCGGAACACAUGAGACCGAAAGGUCGAUCAUGAAUCAUAUAGAUGAUAUGAUUAGCAUAGGGAUGCUUACCACUGAAACUAUACUCAACUCACGUGAUGAUCGGACUUGAGCUAGUGUAAGUGGAUCAUGAACCACUCAAAUGACUAGAGAGAUGUACUUUUUGAGUGGGAGUUUAGCGAGUAAUUUGAUUAAGUUAAACUCUAAUUAUCUUGAACAUAGUCUAAGUCCACUUUGAAUAUAUUUGUGUUGUAGAUCAUGGCUCACGCGACAGUCAUCCUGAAUUUUAAUACGUUCCUAGAGAAAGCUAAGUUGAAAGAUGAUGGAAGCAACUUUGUAGACUGGGCUCGUAAUCUUAAGCUAAUCUUACAAGCUGGGAAGAAGGAUUAUGUCCUUAAUGCUGCGUUAGGAGAUGAACCACCCGCUACGGCUGAUCAGGAUGUUAAGAACGCUUGGUUAGCACGUAAGGAGGACUACUCAAUAGUUCAAUUUGCAGUCUUGUAUGGCUUAGAACCGGGACUUCAACGUCGCUUUGAGCGUCAUGGAGCAUUUGAGAUGUUCCAGGAGUUGGAGUUUAUCUUUCAGAAGAAUGCCCGGUUCGAGAGGUAUGAGACCUCCGAUAAAUUCUAUGCUUGCAAGAUGGAGGAAAACUCGUCUGUCAGUGAACAUGUGCUCAAAAUGUCUGGGUACUCAAACCGUCUAGCUGAGCUGGGGAUUGAACUCCCGCAAGAAGCUAUCAUUGACAGAAUCCUUCAAUCAUUGCCGCCAAGCUAUAAAGGCUUUGUGUUGAACUACAACAUGCAAGGGAUGAACAAGUCUCCCGGCGAGUUGUUUGUGAUGCUGAAAGUCGCAGAGUCUGAACUCCGUAAAGAGCAUCAAGUGUUGAUGGUGAAUAAGACCACUAGUUUCAAGAGAAACGGCAAAGGCAAGAAGGGCAAUUCGAAGAAGAGCGGCAAGCCUGUUUCCAAUCCGACGAAGAAACCCAAAGCUGGACCUAAGCCGGAAAUGGAGUGUUACUAUUGCAAGGGUAUGGGUCACUGGAAGCGCAAUUGCCCCAAGUAUCUGGCAGAUAAGAAGGCGGGCAAAGAAAAAUCAGGUAUAUUUGAUAUACAUGUUAUUGAUGUGUACUUAACCGGCUCUCGUAGUAGUGCCUGGGUAUUCGAUACCGGUUCUGUUGCUCAUAUUUGCAACUCGAAACAGGAACUGCGGAAUAGGCGAAGGCUGGCAAAAGAUGAAGUGACGAUGCGCGUAGGAAAUGGUUCCAAGGUUGAUGCAAUCGCCGUCGGCACAGUGUCACUUCAGUUACCGUCAGGAUCAGUGAUGAACUUAAAUCAUUGUUAUUUAGUGCCUGCGUUGAGCAUGAACAUUAUAUCUGGAUCUUGUUUAUUGCGAGACGGUUACUCUUUUAAGUCAGAGAAUAAUGGUUGUUCUAUUUCUAUGAGUACCAUCUUUUAUGGUCAUGCACCGAAUGUGAGAGGAUUGUUCAUAUUGAAUCUUGAUAACGAUACGCAUAUACAUAACAUUGAGACCAAAAGAGUUAGAGUUAACAAUGAUAGCGCCAUAUUUUUGUGGCACUGCCGCUUAGGUCAUAUUGGUUAAAGCGCAUGAAGAAACUCCAUGCUGAUGGACUUUUGGAGUCACCUGACUUUGAUUCACUUGACACAUGCGAACCAUGCCUCAUGGGCAAGAUGACUAAGACUCCGUUCUCAGGAACAAUGGAGCGUGCAAGUGACUUGUUGGAAAUCAUACAUACCGAUGUGUGUGGUCCGAUGAGCGUGGAGGCACGCGGCGGAUAUCGUUAUUUUCUUACCUUCACUGACGAUUUAAGUAGAUAUGGUUAUGUCUACUUGAUGAAACACAAGUCUGAAACGUUUGAAAAGUUCAAGCAAUUUCAGAGUGAAGUGGAAAAUCAUCGUAACAAGAAGAUCAAGUUCCUACGGUCUGAUCGUGGGGGUGAAUAUCUGAGUUUCGAGUUUGGUGCUCACUUAAGACAAUGUGGAAUUGUUUCACAGUUAACACCGCCUGGAACACCACAGUGUAANACACCGCCUGGAACACCACAGUGUAAUGGUGUGUCCGAACAUUGUAAUCGUACUCUAUUAGAGAUGGUGCGAUCUAUGAUGUCUCUUACUGAUUUGCCGUUAUCAUUUUGGGGCUAUGCAUUAGAAACAGCUGCAUUCACUUUAAAUAGGGAACCAUCAAAAUCCAUUGAGACGACACGAUACGAACUGUGGUAUGACAAGAGGCCAAAGUUGUCGUUUCUUAAAGUUUGGGGAUGUGAUGCUUAUGUCAAAAAGCUUCAGCCUGAAAAGCNNNNNNNNNNNNNNNNNNNNNNNNNNNNNNNNNNNNNNNNNNNNNNNNNNNNNNNNNNNNNNNNNNNNNNNNNNNNNNNNNNNNNNNNNNNNNNNNNNNNUAACCAAGCACAUAAGAACAUCUCCAACACACACAAUAAAUAUGAUGCCUAAGAAAAAACACGCUUUUUGCACGCGCGGGGGUGUUUGAUGCGCUUCAGCAGGUGCGGAGAAAAUACGGAUGCUAAAUAAAACGUCGCGCAUGAGAAAAAGCGACAACGCGCGUACAACGCACCCUUUAUAAACCACGCGUGGGCGCGUGCAAACCGCCACCUCCCUCGUCUUUUUUCUCGCCUACGCUGCGCCACCGCCGCCCCGCUCUUCUUCCUCGUCACCGGCGCCCUUCUCCCUUGCCACCGUCUCUCCCUUCCUCGCCGUCACGCCCUCGGAGCAGCUCCGGCUUCCGCGGCAUCCCCCCCCCCCCCCCCGACGUGUUCUACGCGAAGGUCUCCACUCCGGGGACAUUCGCCCCGGGCUCGGCACUUUUGACAUCGCCAAGGCGACCGCUCGCACGUACUCUUCAGGUCGCGCGCAUAUGAACUUUUCAGUUGUUCGAAGGCGCAGGCCCGCACGCCUCCCUGCUAGUAAUCACCGCGGAGGACCGUCGCAUCCAGGCAAGAUGGGAUCACCGCCUCCUCAUCGCCGAGAUGGACGAGCAGGCCAUGGAGGCGUGGCGUGUGCACUUCCCGCAGGACGUCAGGCAGAAAGGCGUGAACGAAAGACUGCAGCGCUAGCGCAGUGCGACCUGGGAAGACGUCGACAUGGAGCGACAACGAUAAUCGUUGGGACGAUGCUUUCCUCACGUCGGACUACAUCACUGAGAAGAACGAUGAAGAGUAGUAGUCUAUCUAUCUACUUUAUCUAGUUUAUUAUCUAGUUAUCUAUGUAGUUUAUCGUUUCCAUUUGUAUAAUUUGGACUUGAACUAUGUUAACAAUAAUAUAAACUUUUUAUUGUUGGUUUAUUAUUGUGUUUUUAUCUUUAAAAAGUGAAAGUUGUGUUUGUGCUCGAUGCGAGUGUUUUAAAUUUACAGCGCCUGAUGAAACGGCAGCACCAUGUCCCAUUGUGUGGCGCGUGCUGCAGCGGGCGUGCUGCAGUCCAUAAAGAAAAGGCAUUUUGAUGCCGCAAAAAGAAUCUAUCGUGCCGCGCGUAAUGUGCCUGUUGAAGAAGCUCUAACAAGCAAUGAAAUGUAGUGUAUUUUGAGAUGCCAUCAUUCCUCUCUCAACAAGCAAUGAAAUGCUGUGUAUUUUGAGAUGCCAUCAUUCCUCUCUCACAAUAAACGUAACUCAAAAUUCCACAAACCGAUCGCUCGUUAUCGUAAACAAGAAAAGUUCAAUAUGACGUCCUUUAAAUCAAUAUCGAUCUUUAGUAAAAAAAAAAAGCUUUGGUCCCAUUUUAUAUAUAGAAAAUCAUCAAAAACCCGGUUUAGAGACACGACACCACAACACACAUCUAAGACAUAAUGCAUAGACGCCGAGCCCAACAACACCCACCCAAGCACUAUAAAAGCAACCGAAGUCUUCAACCAUGAACACACCACCACAAAGAGAUGAAGCCGCAUACGGCGAACCAUGGGCUACGAGGCGGCACCUUCAGCAAGGACACGACACCAAAGCGACACCACCACCCGACCCGAGGGUUAGAGUUUCCUCUAGAGCAACAUGACAUGUUAUGAAGGCCGCGACGACGCCUUUAAAAAAACGAGCUUCGCCGCCGCCGGUCCGUCCGAAGAUAAAACAAUUUUACACCCGACCAACACCCAUCGCCACCAAACACCACGCCCGGCUACCAUGGCACCCACACAGUAAUGGUCACCGGGCAGCACCAAGCCACGGGCUCUACCCAUGAACACCGCGCUACCACCACCAGGCCGCCGCCCCGACAUUCAUGACCUUGACAUCAACUCACCCGAAACUCACUGCUGCAACAACCAAAGAGACGGAUGGAAAAGGCCCCGCCUUUCGCACCCCUGGACGGCCCUGAUACGUCUUCAACGUAUCUAUAAUUUCUGAUGGUUUCAUGAUAUUAUCCUGUCAAACUUUGUAUGUUUUGUAUGCCUUUUAUAUAUUUUUGGGACUAACUUAUUAACUCAGUGUCAAGUGCCAGUUUCUAUUUUUUUCGUUUUUUUUGACCCCUUUCAGAGGAGGAUUUUAAACGGAGUCCAAACGGAACGAAACUUCCAAAAAGAUUUUUUCCGAAACAGAAGAAGUUUAGGAAGCUUGAGAACCAAGGCAGGGGGCCACCAGGGACCCCACAAGCCCCCUAGCCGCGGCCAGGGGGCCCGCGCAUCCCAGGCUUGUGGGCUCCCUGGGCCACCUCUGCCCUAGGUCUUUCGCCUAUAUAUUCUCAUAAAUUCCAGAAAAAAUCAGGAGAUCAUCGAAAGUACUUUUCCGCCGCCACAAGCUUCUGUCUCCGCAAGAUCCCAUCUGGGACCCUGUCGGAGGGGGGAUUCGGAUACGGAGGGCAUCUUCAUCAACACUAUGACCUCUCCAAUGAUGCGUGAGUAGUUCACCAUAAACAUACGGGUCCAUAGCUAGUAGCUAGAUGACUUCUUCUCUCUCUUGGAUCUUCAAUACAAAGUUCUCCAUGAUCUUCAUGGAGAUCUAUCCGAUGUAAUCUUCUUUUGCGGUGUGUUUGUCGAGAUCCGAUGAAUUGUGAAUUUAUGAUCAAAUUAUCUAUGAAUCUUAUUUGAGUUUUUUCUGAUCUCUCUUAUGCAUGAUUUUAUAUCCUUGUAAUUCUCUUCAAGUUGUGGGUUUUGUCUGGCCAAUUAGAUCUAUGAUUCUUGCAAUGGAAGAAGUGCUUGGUUUUGGGUUCAUACCGUGCGGUGACCUCACCCAGUGACAGAAGGGGUAGCGAGGCACGCAUCGUAUUGUUGCCAUCAAGGAUAAAAGAUGGGGUUUUCAUCAUUGGUUUGAGAUUAUCCCUCUACAUCAUGUCAUCUUGCUUAAAGCGUUACUUUGUUCGUCAUGAACUCAAUACACUAGAUGCAUGCUGGAUAGCGGUCGAUGUGUGGAGUAAUAGUAGUAGAUGCAGAAAGUAUCGGUCUACUUGUCUCGGACGUGAUGCCUAUAUGUAUGAUCAUUGCCUUAGAUAUCGUCAUGACUUUACGCGGUUCUAUCAAUUGCUCGACAGUAAUUUGUUCACCCAUCGUAAUAUUUGCUAUUUUGAGAGAAUUCUCUAGUGAACACUAUGUCCCCAGGUCUACUUCACACCAUAUUUUCAGCCUUACACUUUUACUUCGUUGCACUUUUCGCCUUCAGAUCUCACUUUACAAUCAAUCUUGAAGGGAUUGACAACCCCUUUAUAUCGUUGGGUGCAAGCUCUUUUGUGUUUGCGCAGGUACUCUGGACUUGACGAGAUUCUCCUACUGGAUUGAUACCUUGGUUUUCAAACUAAGGGAAAUACUUACUGCUCCUGUGCUGCAUCACCCUUUCCUCUUAAAGGGAAAAACUAACGCAAGCAAGUCUCCGUCAACGUGUCAAUUUCUGGCGUUGUUGUUUGAGAAGUAGCAGGCCCCAUCACCGAGACCCAAUAGGCUGUGACGCGCCGCCGAGGGGAAGCCCCGAGCCGCCCUACAGCGGCCGUCGAGGUUGCAGCCCGCCCCAUGCUAGAACCUGAUCCAGGAGCCGCCACCGCCACAAGCACCCCAGCACGCCGCCACCUCCCGCGCCACGCCCGAGCAACCAGGAGUCAGCUUCGACUGGAUCUGACCAAGACGCCAUGCUGUGACCCAACGAAGGAGCGACCACCACCACUCGUGCCUUCUGGAUCCAGCGAACAGAGAAGCCACCGCCGCCAACACCAGCGCGCACCACCGCCCCUCGUGCAACCCUCCACACCACCAUGAGAUGCCCAACACCGCCGCUAGUCGCCCGUGGGAGCGACAGAUGGAGGGUCGGGAGUAAACCGAUCUUUACGACACCCAUGUCGUAGAUCUAGAAAUAAACUAGCAUUCACGAAAUCGAAACACCACUUUUUUUUCUGCAUAUCUUUGAAGCAGGAAAUAUUAUGGUGAAUUACUAAUCAUCAAACUGGCAUGUCCACUUGUAUGCUACUCACUCUGUAAACAAAUAUAAGCCAUUUUAGGUCAGUGUAGUAUACUGACCUAAAAUGUCUUUUACAUUUGUUUACAUAUUUUGUAUUGGUGUUAAAAAAUGUGUUACAGUAUAGGACGGAGGGAGUAGUUUAUAAGUAGAAGAAUAGAAAUUUGAAGCGAAAAAUGGUGGAGACGCACUGAGAUCACGGCACAUGACAAGUGUUCAAAUCAAUGGAAAGCAAAUGUAUGUUGGAGAUGGUACCAUUCCUCUCUCAGAAUAAUCGGAGCCCAAAAUUCCACAUGCCGAUCGAUCGAUAUGCUAAACAGGCAAAUUCCUCGGAAUCUUACGAAAAAAGGGGGUCCUUUCGGCUUUCCUUCUAAACUAAACCGAUCUUUCCCACACCAUUUCGCAGAUCUGGAAAUAAACUAGCAUACACUGAACCGAAACGAUUCUGAGCCCCUUUUUUCUCUGCAUAUUUCUGAAGCAGGAAAGAUAUGGUAAAGUAUAAUUAUCAACCUGGCAUAUCCACUUGUGUUGGGCCUUGGCUAUGGCAGGUGGACAUGAUAAGGAGAUCUGAUGAGCAAGUGGGGGAGGCAGGCUCCCAUCUAAAGCAACUGCUACCAGCAGCCAUGCCAGCCUGAACAUCACACUGCAUUGUUUCCUGCAUCAAAGCCAUCAUCUGGUCCUUGUGAUUCUUCAGAACUUGUUCUUUUACCUAUCCCAUAUGUUUUUUUUCCUCUCACACUAUCCAGGGCAAGUGUGAGUUAAUUUUGUUCUGAGACGACUGAAUAAUAGUAGCUGACACAGAAAUGGUGGUUGCGUCCUUUUCUUAUUGAUGGAAAGAGAGGGUGGCCGUAUCACUAUCGGAGUAUCGGUUAAUGAAUCGAAUGGUACUUCUAACUAAAAGGCACAGAAGAUGGGACUUGAGGUUGGGACAUGAGUUAAUUUGGUUUAACUAAAAGGCACAGAAGAUGGGACUUGAGGUUGGGACACGAGUUAGUUUGGUUUGACAGGGUGAAGGAUAGUACUACCAAGGAGACGACGCCAGCAACUUGACAAGCAAAGGCCCAUAAGCAAUAAUUCAGUUGGGUCCUAUUGGGAAAUAUCUUGUCUUCGGAAGAAUUUUGGAUUGACCCAAAUGGCGAGAUUCUUGGAAGACAGAAACUGAUACGGUUUUCCAGUUGCAACAAACAAAAGGGAGAUAAUCAUACGUACCUGUCGUCGACGUGUAUGAAUGUCCAACAAAUUGUCCAAAGAGUCUCAGUUUUGUCCCAGAUUUCUGUAACUGGGUCAUCUAGUGCAGAGAACCAUCUGUGCUAGAAUCAACAAAAGAGCAUUACAAAAUACCAGAGAAGUUCACAUUAGAUUAGAGCAUGUCGACAUAUGCUAUAUAUACAAGCGGUCUCACAUAAACGAUACGGCGCAGGUCUACACACCAGACGAACAAAAUAGCCAUGCAGGAUAGGAGAGAGGGACACGAGAGAUAGAGCAUCCUUCUGGUCGGUCAGUCCUGCUUAACUAUCAUAUGGAAGGUUUUGCUCUUAUCUUCAUCAGCAAGCUCCUUGAGAAGAUCAUCAUCAAUAGCAGUCACCGCGUUUUGUAGUGGAUCAUCGAAAUAGCGCCCGUGGAAGACCAUCUUCGCCAUCCAAGCCUUCCUUCUGUUACUAUUAUACUUAUCCUCCUCCCAUGUACCAUAUGCAACCAGAAGGUAGACAUACACGGUCCUCUCCUGUCCAGGCCUGAACGCCCGCGCGAUCGCCUGCCUGGUCUUGGAGUGGUUCCACUCUGAAUCCAGCAUGACCAACCUCGACGCGCCUGUCAAGCUGAUACCCUCGGCGCACGCCGUUGUCGAAGCAAUAAGGACCUUCCUCUUCCCUUGACUGUCGGUGUUGAAUUUGUCAAUGACAUCGGAGCGGACGGGCAGCUCUUGAUCGCCUUGGAGCACCAGGACUUCCUCCCCGAGGCGCCAUCCAAACACAUUCUCGAUCAACUCGACAAGAAAGCUUAUGGGCGAUACAUUGUGGCAGAAUAUCAGCACCCUCUCCCCCCUGUACGACGACUUGUGCAGCAGAUCGAUGACAAACUUCGCCUUGCAACCGACAGCAAAGUCCCUCUUGUACCUGUCAACCUCAUGCACUUCUUCUGGAGUGAAGUAAGUGCUAGAACAUUUGGUUGUUUUUAUAAGCCAUGGAUGGAUAGAAGCAAUGGUGAUGAGCAGCUGAACCUCGAGAAGGUAACGGCCACCGCAUGACGUUGCCAUCGAUAUUUUUGAAAGUAUAUCACCCUGAAUUUCAGUGGGUUUCAUGAAAAGUGUAUAUACAUGUAUCCCUGGAAGGCUUCUUAGCUUUGACCCUUCGAAUGAAUCGAUGAACCCACAUGUAAGCUUGUUUAACAAACUGAUACCACCUGCCCGGUCCCAGUUGUUGCUAGACUCGAUCAUUUGCCCAACUCUGUCCACGAAGAUUCGCCUUGCCACUGCUUCUCUAUGUUUAGCUCUCCUGCCGCUUGUUUCCUUCUUCCUUUCCGGGACAAGCGCGGUCAUAACAUCGUCGACAAACCGAGGUCUGGCCAGAGAUAGGGUGUUGAAAUACUCUUCAAAGUUAUUCUGGAAGACUGUACCAGACAUGAGGAUUCUAAACUCUGUCUUCACCUUCAUCAGCACCCUCCUCAACUUGGAUUUGUUGCUCCUCGGGUUGUGUCCCUCGUCGAGGAUCAACAACCCAGGGUUGUUGAUCAGGACUUGCGCCAUGAAUGCUCGCUGAGGCAUUCUUGAGUCUUCUUUCGCCAGUCGUAAGAAAGAUGAGUAUGUCAUGAGGAGAACACUUGGACGCUCAUGCCACUUGCAUAACUUGUCCAGCCGAUCCACAAGGCAAAUGUUUUUCCAGCUCGGCCGGCGAAAAUUGCUUAAAAUUGCCUGCAGCCUAGGAUCAAUAGGCCACAUUGGCUUGCCUCUUCUGUCAGCCUGAUGAAGCAGAUGCAGAGGAACUGAAAUGCCCCAUUUCUCAAAUUCUCUCAUCCAUGUAUGGAUAGCAGAUUUUGGAGUAAGCACCAAUGGCCGGCUUCUUGGGUGAACUUUUAAGUAACUGACAAGAAAUGAGAUCAGCAGCAGAGUUUUCCCCGAUCCAGGAGUAUGUGCAACCACACAGCCACCAGUACUGGCUGUUGGAUUAUCCAUUUCCUCGAGUUGCAGCGAUCCCGCCAAGUUUUUCCAAAUGAAUUCGAAUGCAUUCCUUUGGUGAGGAAGUAAUUUAGGCUCAAGAUCGGGUAUUAAACUCCACAGGUUCCCGGAGCCCCUCAGUUCUGAAAACUCUGGUCCCAAGAUUGCAAGAAGAGAAGGAUCAAGUACAAGAUCAUCAUGAUCAAAAUUGCGGCAUCCAGGUCUCUCCUUGUUAUAGCCAUUACCAUUGGCCUGCAUGGAACGAAUAUAUUGUGCAUCCUGUCAAUUGACGAGUCAAAAGCGAAAGCAGUGAAAAGAAGUUGAAAUUGCUUUAAUUGGACCUACCAUUUGCGGAAAGAUAUGCUUUAUCUCCACACAUACAACAUUGCAUAAUCUGCACACCAGUCCAAGCUCCUCAUCCAGUAUGCAGUCAUGAUCACAUGGAUUUUCUUCACUUUUACCUAAAUCAGCAGUGGCUUCAUGAACUGCUUCUGAAUGUGAGUCCUGAAAAUUUGUAUCUGUUCUUAUUCCCGAAGUGCCGGAAAAAGCAGACUUUUUUUAAAGAAAGAACAUCAAGUAAUUCACAGCAUUGUGAUUGCAAGGGCAUGCUAACAAAUUUCAUGUGAUCCAUAUUUUGUAUACAUCCUUUUAUAUGCAAGUUACUAGCAGCAACUGUUAAGCUUCAUGCACUAGCCAACGCAACCAAAAGUCCGAAUUUAUGAAAAGGUGAAACUCACAUAUGACUCAAGAGGCCUCUACAUGGACACAAAGGGAGGCUACCAGCAGUUUUUAAUAAAUUGCGAAAGCCAGGACUUGAACAAGACCUUAGCUUCGAUACCAUGUUAAGCUUCAUGCACUAGCCAACGCAACCAAAAGUCCGAACUUAUGAAAAGGGAUAGUGCAAUCCACAUAUACUGUAACACAAUGAUCAGUGAAAUGACAAAACUUACCAAAAUGUUUUUAUGUCACAAUAUGUUGAACAUUGCACUUAGUAAUUAUGAGAUAUUUUUGGGAUCAUAGAUAAUUUUUUCAGAAGUACAAACAGACUCAGGCUUGAGUAUAUCAGGAAUUCAGAAUGAGCACUAUUUCCAAAUUCAGAACGAGCAUUUUCUCAAGAAGUUCUAAAUCAUUUCACGAGAAACUUGAGCAAUUAUAAAAGGAAUACAACGCGUACCUGAUUUUUCUCAAGCGCUAUUGUGGUCAAUGAGUGGUCCAUUUCUUUCCAAAAUUCCUCAAGACCAUCCUUCUCUUCUUGACUGUCACUGUCAGCAGAAGCUGGCCAUGUAAAAUUCACUUCUCCGUGAAAACCCUGAUCGUAACUCAUCAUCGGAACACCUAGAUAAAACUCAAAGUCCCUGUCCAUUUCAGUCUGGAUGUUUCCUAUGCAUUGGUUUACCAUUUUCUUGUAUUCUCUUUCGCACAUGCGUUCCUUUCUUUUCCGACCAAAUGCUGGCUCAGAAUUGCCAUUUAGGCUGCGUGAUGAAGUAAAUGACUUGCGCCGAAGAGAUAAAGGGAGGUGAAGAUUCUUCUCCCUGCUCUUUGCAGGUGUCCGUGGAACAUGAGGAUCCGAAGAUCUUUCUUCAACUGUGCUCUCCUCCUUCACUUCCACAGAGCUGGGUUUUUCCUUAACAGGAGUUAUCCUUGCUGUGCUCUUAUGCUUCCCUUCUGCGGAGUUUGGGUUUUCCUUGACCACGAAAGCAGUUGCACUUGUUUGUUUCCGUGUGAUAUUCACUGGGACCUCUGCAUAAGUUGAUUCUACUUCAACUGGUGAAUCUCGACGUGAAGCUCUUGCUGAAUUGCAAUGCUUGCUGGACGACGCAUCACGUCUCUUCCACCUGUCACGUCCGAAAUUAGGCAUGUCAUAGGUAGUAAAGCGCUCUGCUUGAGUUUUCUGACGCUUUGAACGCCUCAAAUCCACUUCUUCAUACGAGAAAACAUCUAAUAGACCAUCCAACUCAGUCUUGACUGUAAAUCUCCUGUCUUCCAAUUGACCAUCCAAUUCGGUCUUCAUAGUGAAUCUCAUGUCUUCUGUGAGAUUGUGUUUGUUUGCAUGAGUGACCGGGAUAUUCCUGAUAAUUGGGCAUAAAGCCUCAUUGCGCAGUUGGAAUGAAACUAUCUCCAUGCUGUUGCCAAAGCCUGGAGGUGUGCUCGUGGAACCAAGAUUGCAAUGCGCUCGGCCUCCUGUGAUGAUUCUAUAGAUGAUGUUUCGUUUUACCAACUUGAUGCUGAACUCCAUUCCAUUCAGGAUAGACAAAACUAUGAGAUGUGCAAUUUCUUGGGAGAAUCUAGCACUUAACAGCUUGCUUCUAUUGUGAGAGAGACAAUCCUCCGCGUAGCUCCAUUGUACACUUCCCUCAUGGAUCUCCUUAGGUUGGAGCUUUUGCAAGAGCAAGAUAUUGUUUAGGGUCACCACAUGUUCUCUUCUAUCAGAUAUCACGUCUCCAUUUUCUGUAUUGUCAGGAUACUGAUUCUUGUAGAGCAUAAUAACAAACAAGCAGAGACACUGAUCUUCAAUAUGAUUUCUCUUGAUUGUGAUGAGCCUUGCAUCAUGACACAGUAACAUCUGCAUGUAUAUAAGAGAAUAAAGUAAUCAAGAGAUGAUGCAGUUUUCCCUUAACAGUUUUUUUUAUUUGAGCAUCCCCUUAACAGUUUAUUGAUAGUUUAGCCUCUUAGUUCCUUCUUUUGUAGUAGGUUUUUUUUUCAUCUUAAAGUUUCUUCUAAUACAAGAGGCACACAUUUGGGUCUGUAUUUGAGAAACAAGACUGCUAUUAAAUGACAUGCGGAACAAACAAUGGUAUAACUUUCUCAUCCAACUCUUCAUAUUCAGCGCAUUAUGUUUUUUCUUUUGUUCCUAAAAAUCCAUUACUAUGUACCUUUUGAAGAUAAAACAGAAUGGGCAUGUAAACCUUUUACAAUAAAUCAUAAAUAGUAGGUUGACAUACCGAAGAUUUCAUUUCCCCAGUCGGACUUCCUUGCAGUAGAUGAGACGAUUGCACACAAAUAUCAACACCCGGCUUGAGAACAUGCGAGCAGUCAAAGUACGUAGCUCUUCUGGAGCGUAGGCGCAGAUGAUCCCCAUCCACAUUAUGCUCGACUGUGGAGCUAGAGUAGGUAAAUUUAACGAACAGCCCGCCAUCCCUGAUCCUUAUACAAUUAACUCCAUGCCAUGAGCCAUCAUAGAAUGCCUCAAAUGCUGCAAGCAAAGGAGAAAUUCAGUUAUAUAUAGAUGUUUUUUAAUGUAAAUUUAAAUAUAGAUAUUUGAUCAUAACAGUGUAUAAUGGAUAAUUUCCACGCUACUUGCUUACGAGUUUCACUGAUGGGAUGGCUACGGCGACCUUUAGGUCCUCCCUUGAGCGUAUCUUCAGCCAUGUAGCUUAGCAUCUCAUGAUGUGACAUUCAACUGCCUGCUAAGCAGAAUUUUGUAACGGUUUGCUUCAUAUGGAACAAGAAAUCUGAAUUUCUGAUCAACAAUAUUCUAAAUGGAUAGUACAUGGCUGUCCCGGUGGCCGGUGAGCCAUAUACAACCCCAAAACCCAGCAUCGGUUCAUGCUUUGAGAUUGGCAUGCUCUCGCCAUCUUUGUUGUAGCACAUCUCAUUUCACACCUUAAUGAAGUCAAUUCUACAGCAUCAAAAUGUCUAAAACAAAGAGCAACGAGAUCUAGAUUCGACUAUUACUAAAUUGUCAACUAUUUUCCAACGCCGAAUAUACAUAUAAAUGGAUUUGCACAAACCAAAUACUUCCUCCGUCUUAAAAUAAGUGUCUUAAGCUUAGUACAAUUUUAUACUAAAGCUAGUACAAAGUUAAGACACUUAUUUUAGAAUGGAGGGAGUAUGAAUUAGUACAAUGGUGCAUAAUAUAGCGACAUAAAACGUGCGAAACUCAAAGCAUGAUCUAUGGUGAAUAAAUUCCACACUCUAUCAUAAAUAUCUCCAUAGGCAUACAGAUUCAUUCAUUUACUCUUUUUUUCUCGAGAAAAUGCAAGAUUCAUGUCCUAGCUAGUGCCAAACUGAUACUAGUAGUAAUAAAUAUGCGACAAAAUACAACAUUUAGUACCAUUUUUUUGCUGAAACAUAAAUAGGGUGAGCGAAUCUGCGACGGAACAAAACAAAGAUCAACGAGGUCUAGAUUCGAGCAUCGCUUAACCAUAAAAGUGUUUUCCAAGAAAAAAUCGCUGGUGAAACGGAAAAGGGACGAGAGAAUCUGCGACGGAACGGAACAAACUCGAGGCGCCGCUGGAUCCACACUUGUUGAACCCUAUUCCCUGCGCCGAGCCGAUCGACCAGAGACGCCCCAUUACACAUGAGCAAGAAUCGACGGAAACAGGGCAUAUCCUCCUCGGACAUACCAAUGGAAUGGGAGGAGGCGCCGCUAGCUGGCCUCGACCAAUCUCGCGACGGGGGCAAUGGUCGCCGGCGGCGGAGCAAAAGAGAGGGACGUGGAUUGCGAUUGCACGGGCGUGUUCCGGCCGGGCGGAGGCGACCAUGUAGAGGGAGAACAGGGCUGUUCUGGGAGAGAUUACUGAUUAGUGUGGAAGGGAAGCAAGGGGAGGGCGGAGGAGAAGGCUCUGGGUCCCUCUCCGCUGUGGUGCGGUCAGGUCAAGUACUCGAGUGCACGCGCUCGUCUGGGGAAGAGGCGAAGCAGCAACAAAUGGCAGCGGCGACGGGACGUGACGGAGCAGCCACCAGCACAGCAGGGAGGAGGAAGAGAGAGCUGUCUCUUNGAGGCUAUCAUAGGGAUGCGGGCGAGCUCUGGUGGGUCCGGUGCCUUGACCAAUGUUGGAGGAGAGGAGGAGUAAGAGCAUUUAUAAGCGGAUCCUUUAAACUCUUUUCAAAUCGUUUGGACAAAUCGAUCAUUAUACGUUCAUAAAAAAAUAGAUACAGACGGUUUUUUUAAACUGGCCCCAAACGUCCGGGCUGAUCGGCACCCAUUUGCAACCCAAAUAUGAGGCGGAUAAGGGGGAGCCCGCACGCCCGGGCACGCCCGUCAUGUUGGAUCCGACAGCCCGACCCUACCUCAAAUUGCACCAAAUUCCCUAAAUCCUUCCUCCUCCUCCCGCUGCCUGCCAACAUUUUCCGUGCCCGACCCCUCGCCGUUCGACACCCUUGCUCUCCAUCCUCACCACCUGUCCCGACCCAUCGCAGUGAUGUCUUCCAUCCUGUCCCCGACUUCCGCGACGGGGACACGGUUCGUCUCUUCCGUCGGCGGCCCUUCCUCCGUUUCGUCUUGCAUGCUGGAGAACGUCGCCCAUAAGUUGUGCCGUCGUCGACAGCGACAGAGGGAGUUGGCCGCACAAGUACAUGCGGGCGGCCACUUUGUAUCACGAGACCGAGAAGAUGCCAUUUGCUUUUAGCCAUUGUUGGCUCUUAUCGGAUGGCAAGCCAAAGUGGCAACAAAUUGUGGCUGACCUCAAGGCUGAAAAGAAGAGGAAUGAUGGCUCAAGCUUCCACCAAUCCAUUGGAUUGGACAAUGAUGAUGACGACGUUGUUGUCACCAAAGGAAACGCUAUCGUGCCAUAGGAUAACCAGCUACUCAUGGGAACUAAGUGGGAGAAGGUAAGGAUCUUCCAUGACGUCACUGCUACAAAAACGUCGUCCACAUGGACGAACAUUUUUCGACAAGGGAGAGCAAGAAAGAGGAGAGGUGCAAGCUUAUGUUGGAUGCGCAAAGGGAGAGGAUGGAGUGGGAUCGGACAAGGAUAGAGAGACGUCUUGAAAUUGAGAGGGAGAAGAUCGAGUUGGAGAAGCAAGAGGCGGCGAUCAAAUGUGAACUCCAGAAGGCCAAGACACUAGGAGACACUGAGCUCGAGAAGGAGAGGUUGCAACUCUCACGCGACACGGAGGAUGUAAAAAAUCAUGCUCGCGGAUGAAUCAACUUUGGAUGAACAUGUCAAAAAUGGCUUAUGGAUAGGAAGAAGGAGAUCAACGACCAUAGAGCAUUGGAGACGGCCAGGGAGGCCACGUUUGCGGCAGCGGAGCAGGCGGCUAGGAUGCAGGCGGUGGAGGCAGCCCGGAUGCAGACGGCGAUCAUUGCCAAGAUGCAAGCGGAGGAGGCAGCCCGGAUGCAGGCGGAGAUGGAUAUCCAGGCGGAGCAGGACGCAUGGACGAACUCGUUCGACCAGUGAUCCGACAACACUUGUCGGUCGGACAUCGAUUUCAUUUUGACAUGUCCGUUCGGUUGAACUAUGAUAUCAUUUGCUUUUGUUUAAAAUUAUUGAAUUCAGACAAUUUGUAUUGGAUGAUCGAUGUGCAUAGCCUUGUAUGUAUUUAAAACUCCGGAUAUGAGAUACGUGGAUGCACGAAUCAAAAUAUGAUGAGCCGUCCGAAUGCGUCCAUAUGCAUGUCCGGACGCGUCCACAGGAGUAUAAAAAGCCGGAUUUGUUCAAUUCAACCGUACAUGCUCUAAAUACUGCGCGGUUUGUACUUCUUGGCUUUGCAGCCUCUCGAAUCUCGAUUGUUCAAAGAUCUUCAAAUGUGAUGCUUAUAGCAUCUCCUAUAUUGAUAAAAAUUUGUAGAUGUAAAAACACAGAUAUAAAAUUUACUUUUUUAAAAGUGUUUUUUCACAUCUUUAUAAAGAGGCUAACUUCAACAAAUGAUGCAAAAUGUAGAUGUAAAAAAUGCAACUUUAAAAGCUGAUGCAAAAUGAAGUAGUAAAACUGGCCGACCGCGCACUGCUGUAGAUCCGCACAUUUUUAAAUAUAAACAUUCUGAAUUGAAACUUUAAUUUUUCACAUGUACACAAUAUCAAAUUAUUAUAUAAUUUUCCCAAACAGCUUGCAUUCGAGGUGGAACGAUUCGGCCGGUGAUGGGAUGGCCAGCCGCUCGAUGGCAGCUUGUGAGAACAAUGAAUGCAACUCGAUAAAGGAUACUACUAAAAAAUAGCUUAUAGAUAGAACAUUAUUAGUAUCACCGUUUUAGUGCCUCACGCUACUGUUACUUAGCACCAUCGUUGGCCAUCAACACGUGCUACAGAUAACUCAUAGCAGCAACGGCAUAAUUCAUGCGGUGUCAUCUCAACGGAUUUAGACGGUGCCCUAUUUAAAAUAAAUGCGACAGUUUUCAAUGCAUAUCCCAAAAUAAGAGCGGUAGAUCGAUCAAUCAAUAAUGAAUGCUCGUUAUGUUUCAUUUAGAGCACUUCUGCAUAUGUAUGUCUUCAUAUAAACUAAGGCUUGUCGUAGUGGGAGUAUCAUAAGAGCAAGUACAAUAGGGUACAGUCAGCAGCUGUAAAGAUUAAAAUACUAUAUUUUUACUGAGUUGGAUGAGAGAGAAGAGGAGAGAGAUGGGAAGCGGGCUCUUCGUGAAGAGCCAGCUCUAGCACGUUCUCCUAGGUACUUUGUGAGAAUGAAAUAUGGGACAUAUAUGAUAAAAGUAGUACUUUUUUAUAACUAACUAUUGUAUAAGCUGGCUAUAAGAUGGGCUAUAAGAUGGCUUAUAGCCAGCAGUUGGCUAUACUAUUAACCAUGCUCUAAGUAGUAUCAUGCAUGCCAACUAGGCAUAUUUGAUGAGGUGACAUGAAAUUAAAUGAGGAAAGAGAGGGUUGAGUAUCAUAUUAUGAUACCGUAUCAUAUUAAAUGUUGUGCUACUAUGUGUCAUGCAUGACAAUAAAUGAACUAUUCUAUGAUACUAGCACAUGAUACUAUGCAUUACGGACGUAGUAUCAUACACUAGUAUCAUAUGAAUGAUACUACUAUAUGAUACUCUUCAUUACAACAGCCUAAGGCUGCCCGUAAUGGUAGUAUCAUGCAUGCCAACUAAACACUUUCAAUAAGGUGGCAUAGAAUUAAAUGAAGAAAGAGAUGGUUGAGUAUCAUAUCAUGAUACUGUAUCAUAUUAAAUGGUGUGCUACUAUGUGUCUUGCAUGGCAAUAAAUGAACUACACUAUGAUACUAAUAUAUGAUACUAUGCAUUACGGAUGUGAUAUCAUACACUAGUAUCAUAUGCAUGAUACUAGUAUAUGAUACUACUCAUUACAACCAGCCUAAUGGUAAUCCAUAAAAGAAUGAUCUAUGUCUCCAUGCGGCCGGCACGGGUGGUCAGUGGCCUGUAGAACCUCGCGAUGGUGGGGCAUCCCUGCACCGUUGUGGCCCGAUCUUGGUCCAGAGUUAAUUGCAAAAGACUACCACAAUUCGGAUCGUAUUCAUAAGUUGGUGCCAUCUUUCAAUUUUUUUGCAAAUACGUACCAAGAUACAGGCAGCUUGUUGCAAAACUUGUAUUUUUACGUAUAGAUGCUCUUUCUGACAGAUAUGACCCACCGGUUAGUCUCUUACAAGAAUAACCGGCCCGGACCGCUUCGAUCCGGGGAAAACCGACUCUUUCUCUCCAUCCAGACCGGACAGGCAAAAAAAAAACCUUCGUCUCCUCCAGACCGAACCCACCAUCUCCCCUCCUCCUCCACCCCUCCUACCCCUCACCGCCACCACCGGCACACCCCGCCGGCCACUCCCUCCAACGCCUAGAGAUGCAGAUGCUGGUGCGGCUGGCGGCGCCGGCCGUGCUGGUGUACAUGAUCAACUACCUCAUGUCCAUGUCCACGUAGAUCUUCGCCGACCACCUUGGCACCCUCGAGCUCGCCGCCGCCUCCCUCGGCAACACCGGCAUCCAGGUCUUCGCAUACGGCCUCAUGGUACGUACGCACGCACGCACGAGCCUCCCUCCAUGGAUUUGACCAUCAGCAGCAGUAGGAGUACUUCUCAUCGAAUCCAGGGGAUUCUCCAUCGGGCUCAGAUAGUCAGAUUAAUCAUUAAUCAAAUCAAAUCUACCAGCACCCGGAUUCCAGCCAACUCGUCGUAGGCUACGCGUCGAUCGGCGUAGCAGCUGAGCUGUCAACGUUUGGCCUCGUGUAGUUGACUGCUCCUAUAAUUAACGCCGGAUACCGAGCACGAGCAGCAGCAGCAACAACAGCACUGAACUUUAGACUCGGUCGCAGGACGAGUGCAGCAGCGUUUGCUUUGAUUUGGAGGAGCAGGGGAGAUGGUGAGGAGGCGGGGGCGGGGACGGAGGAGGGAGGGGCGGUGCUGGUGAGGGUGGAGGGAGUAGCCGGAGGGGUGUGGCAGUGGUGGCGGUGAGGGGGAGGCGGGGUGGAGGAGCAGGGGAGAUGGGGGAGAUGCCUGUCCGGACUUGAUGGAGAGAAAGAGUCGGGUUUCUCCGGAUCGAAGCGGUCCGGGCCGGUUUUUCUUGUAAGAGACUGACCGGUGAGCCAUAUCUGUCAAAAAGAGCAUCUAUACGUAGAAAUACAAGUUUUCCAACAAGCUGCCUGUAUCUUGGUACGUAUUUGCAAAAAAAUUAAAAGAUGGCACCAACUUGUGAAUACGGCCCGAAUUGUGGUAGUUUUUUGCAAUUAACUCCUUGGUCCUGGUGGUUGCAGACAACGCGGGCUACGCUCGGUGUCACCCGGAGACCUGUAUUGCAUCCUUUGCAGUGGUGAUUGAAUGCGGUCGGUUUAUCUGGUCGCUUCCUCCCAAUGCUCGGCUUGCUUUCCUCCGUACAGACCUGGGUCGCCUUGUGUGUCUUGCCGGUCCUCGAUGCGGAUGGAGAUGGAGGUGGGAUUCAGACCAAGAGAAAUCUUUUGUCGGCCCUGGUUGGUGACAACGACGUCGACCGAGGGGCGAGGGCGCCAUUUCUUUGUUAGCCAUAAUCCUGACUUAGUAUGUGUUGUCCAGGUCGUGUGCCAUUGUGAAGAUCCAGCACGACCAAUGGACAUGAUGCAUGCAACAGGUGGAGGAGGAGGCACGAUGGCACCAGGUCUUGCGGAGGAGCGGGCUGCUCACGUUCGAGGGAAGAUCGGAUCACCAGGUGAGCUCGUGGCUGCGUAUGGUUGUUGGCCGAAUGAUAGGCCUGGUCCUUGGACGUUGGAGCGAAUCAAGGAGAGGUUAGUUGCUUAGUGGACGGGUCAUGUGGUAGUGGCCGUACGUGGUGGUCAUGCGUUGUGGCUAGCUACUUAGUCUCGUUAGUGGGGUGUGUGUGACCGUUGGCCUGUGUGUGCAGCCGGCUUUAAAAGCCCCGUGUGUACUGUUUGUAGAAGGUGCCGGUGUGUGUAGCCGUGCUCCGGUGUGUUGCCGAGCGACGGGGUGUGCCGAGCCAAGUGUGAGGGGCCUAGAAGAUGUAGUCUUCGUCGGGACCGUGAUGUGUGUCCGGUAAACGUGAGAGUUCUUCCGGGUUGUGCAGCGUGCGUGCGUGUGUACCUCAUGUAUGUGUUUGAGUCGUAGAGAGAAAUAAAGCCAAGAUACAGGCGUUGGUGCGCCGCGGCGUUCGUCGCCGGAAAGAUCGUGGUAUCUCCUUCGUCUACCUUCGUCCGGCGUUUAGGUCGCCGGUAGGUUUGUCCCAACAGUUGGUAUCAUGAGCUUGGUUGGUUUGAGUGUGGUUCGGAGUGCCGGAGGUGUACCAGCGAUGACGGCAUUCGUCGGCGACAACGCGAAGCUUCGGGCCGUGUGUCGGCCUAUGAAGGUGCGCGGCGCUGCGGCUGUCGUGACGAACACGGAGGCAACGCAUGGUGAGUCCGCAACGAGCGCUCCGAACAUGGAGGCCGAGGCAGCGCGGUUGCAGCACAUAGCGAGAGCAUGGAGACGGCGACGUGCUGCGAGUCCACAACGAUGGUAACCGGCGUAUGUGCGCCAGGUCGAGUCUGGCAUGGUGGUGAUCGGCAAGAGCGCGUCCAGGACAGAGGCGUGCGAGCGGCGGCCGGCGACGAGUGCAAGAUGGCGGUCCACAACAAGCUAUGUCAAGAUUAAAGGGGAAAUUGUUAGCCAUAAUCCUGACUUAGUAUGUGUUGUCCAGGUCGUGUGCCGUUGUGAAGAUCCAGCACGACCAAUGGACGUGAUGCAUGCAACAGGUGCAGGAGGAGGCACGAUGGCACCAGGUCUUGCGGAGGAGCGGGCUGCUCACGUUCGAGGGAAGACCGGAUCACCAGGUGAGCUCGUGGCUGCGUAUGGUUGUUGGCCGAAUGAUAGGCCUGGUCCUUGGACGUUGGAGCGAAUCAAGGAGAGGUUAGUUGCUUAGUGGCCGGGUCAUGUGGUAGUGGCCGUAUGUGGUGGUCAUGCGUUGUGGCUAGCUACUUAGUCUCGUUAGUGGGGUGUGUGUGGCCGCUGGCCUGUUUGUGCAACCGGCUAUAAAAGCCCCGCGUGUACUGUUUGUAGAAGGUGCCGGUGUGUGUAGCCGUGCUCCGGUGUGUUGCCGAGCGACGGGGUGUGCCGAGCCAAGUGUGAGGGGCCUAGAAGAUGUAGUCUUCGUCGGGACCGUGAUGUGUGUCCGGUCGAUGUGAGAGUUCUUGCGGGUUAUGCAGCGUGCGUGCGUGUGUACCUCAUGUAUGUGUUUGAGUCGUAGAGAGAAAUAAAGCCAAGAUACAAGCGUUGGUGCGCCGCGGCGUUCGUCACCGGAAAGAUCGUGGUAUCUCCUUCGUCUACCUUCGUCCGGCGUUUAGGUCACCGGUGGGUUUGUCCCAACAAUUGGUAUCAUGAGCUUGGUUAGUUUGAGCGUGGUUCGGAGUGUCGGAGGCGUACCAGCAAUGGCGGCAUUCGUCGGCGACAACGUGAAGCUUCGGGCCGUGUGUCGGCCUAUGGAGGUGCGCGGCGCUGCGGCUGUCAUGACGAACAUGGAGGCGGCACGCGGUGAGUCCACAACGGGCGCUGCGAACAUGGAGGCCGAGGCGGCGCGGUGGCAGCACAUAGCGAGAGCAUGGAGACGGCGACGGGCUGCGAGUCCACAAUGGUGGUAACCGACGUAUGUGCGUCAGGUCGAGUCUGGCAUGGUGGUGAUCGGCAAGAGCGCGUCCAGGACAAAGGCGUGCGAGUGGCGGCCGGCGACGAGUGCAAGAUGGCAGUCGACAACGAGCUAUGUCAAGAUUAAAGGGGAAAUUGUUAGCCAUAAUCCUGAUUUAGUAUGUGUUGUCCAGGUCGUGUGCCGUUGUGAAGAUCCAGCACGACCAAUGGACGUGAUGCAUGCAGCAGGUGCAGGAGGAGGCACGAUGGCACCAUGUCUUGCGGAGGAGCGGGUUGCUCACGUUCAGGGAAGACCGGAUCACCAGGUGAGCUUGUGGCUGCGUAUGGUUCUUGGCCAAAUGAUAGGCCUCGUCCUUGGUACGUAGGAGCGAAUCAAGGAGAGGUUAGUUGCUUAGUGGCCGGGUCAUGUGGUAGUGGCCAUACGUGAUGGUCAUGCAUUGUGGCUAGCUACUUAGUCUCGUUAGUGGGGUGUGUGUGGCCGGUGGCCUGUGUGUGCAGCCGGCUAUAAAAGCCCCGUGUGUACUGUUUGUAGAAGGUGUCGGUGUGUGUAGCCAUGUUCCGGUGUGUUGCCCAGCGACGGGGUGUGCCGAGCCAAGUGUGAGGGGCCUAGAAGAUGUAGUCUCCAUCGGGACCGUGAUGCGUGUCCGGUCGACGUGAGAGUUCUUCCGGGUUGUGCAGCGUGCAUGCGUUUGUACCUCAUGUAUGUGUUUGAGUUCUAGAGAGAAAUAAAGCCAAGAUACAGGCGUUGGUGCGCCGCGGCGUUCGUCGCCGGAAAGAUCGUGGUAUCUCCUUAAUCUACCUUCUUCCGGCGUUUAGGUCGCCGGUGGGUUUGUCCCAACAGUUGGUAUCAUGAGCUUGGUUGGUUUGAGCGUGGUUCGGAGUGCUGGAGGCGUAUCAGCGAUGGCGGCAUUCGUCGGCGACAACGCGAAGCUUCAGGCUGUGUGUAGGCCUAUGGAGGUGCGCGGCGCUGCGGCUGUCGUGACGAACACAGAGGCGGCGCGCGGUGAGUCCGCAACGAGCGCUGCAAACAUGGAGGCCGAGGCGGCGCGAUUGCAACACAUAGCAAGAUCAUGGAGACGGAAACGGGCUGCGAGUCCACAACGGUGGUAACCGACGUAUGUGUGCGAGGUCGAGUCCGGCAUGGUGGUGAUCGGCAAGAGCGCGUCCAGGACAACGGCGUGCGAGCGGCGGCUGACGACCAGUUUAAGAUGGCGGUCAACAACAAGCUAUGUCAAGAUUAAAGGGGAAAUUGUUAGCCAUAAUCCUGACUUAGUAUGUGUUGUCGAGGUCGUGUGCCGUUGUGAAGAUCCAGCACGACCAAUGGACGUGAUGCAUGCAGCAGGUGCAGGAGGAGGCACAAUGGCACCAGGUCUUGCGGAGGAGCGGGCUGCUCACGUUCGAGGGAAGACCGGAUCACCAGGUGAGCUCGUGGUCGCGUAUGAUUGUUGGCUGAAUGAUAGGCCUGGUCCUUGGACGUUGGAGCGAAUCAAGGAGAGGUUAGUUGCUUAGUGGCCGGGUCAUGUGGUAGUGGCCGUACGCGGUGGUCAUGCGUUGUGGCUAGCUACUUAGUCUCGUUAGUGGGGUGUGUGUGGCCGCUGGCUUGUGUGUGCAGCCGGCUAUAAAAUCCCCGUGUGUACUGUUUGUAGAAGGUGCCGGUGUGUGUAGCCGUGCUACGGUGUGUUGCCGAGCGACGGCGUGUGCCGAGCCAAGUGUGAGGGGCCUAGAAGAUGUAUCCGUCAGGACCGUGAUGUGUGUCCGGUCGACGUGAGAGUUCUUCCAGGUUGUGCAGUGAUACGUCUCCGUCGUAUCUACUUUUCCGAACUCUUUUGCCCUUGUUUUGGACUCUAAUUUGCAUGAUUUGAAUGGAACUAAACCGGGCUAACGCUGUUUUCAGCAGAAUUGCCAUGGUGUUGUUUUUGCGCAGAAAUAAAAGUUCUCGGAAUGACCUGAAAAUUUACGGAGAUUUUUUCUGGAAUUAAUGAAAAAUAUUGGCGCAAGAAUCAGCGGAGGAAGUGGAGCCGUGAGCUCACAACCCCACCAGGCGCGGCCCCCCUGGCCGCGCUUGACAGGCUUGUGGGGCCCACAAAGCUCCACCUGCUCUCAAUCCAGCUCUAUUUAGCCUCUUUCAUACGAAAAAAAAUCAAGGAGAAGAGUUCAUCGCGUUUUACGAUACGAAGGCGCCGUCACCUCCUAUUCUUCAUCUAGAGGGCAGAUCUGGAGUCCGUUUUGGGCUCCGGAGAGGGGAGAUCAUCGCCAUCGUCAUCAUCAACCUUCCUUCAACGCCAAUUCCAUGAUGCUCUUCACCGUUCGUGAGUAAUCUCAUCGUAGGAUUGCAGGAUGGUGAUUGGUUGGAUGAGAUCUAUCAUGUAAUCGAGUUAGUUUUGAUGGGGAUUGAUCCCUAGUAUCCACUAUGUUCUGAGAUUGAUGUUGCUACUACUUUGCCAUGCUUAUGCUUGUCACUAGGGCCCGAGUGCCAUGAUUUCAGAUCUGAACCUAUUAUGUUGUCGCUAAUAUAUGUGUGUUUUAGACCCUACCUUGCAAGUUGUAGUCACCUACUAUGUGUUAUGACCCGGCAACCCCGGAGUGACAGUAGCCGGAACCACUCCCGGAGAUGAACAUAGUACGAGGAGUUCAUGUAUUCAUCAAGUGUUAAUGCGUUGGUCCGGUUCUUUAUUAAAAGGAGAACCUUAAUAUCCCUUAGUUUCCAUUAGGGCUCCGCUGCCACGGGAGGGAUGGACAAUAGAUGUCUUAAACGUCCUCAUCCCUAAGCACGUAUGACUAUAUACGGAAUACAUGCCUACGUUUGAUUGACGAACGGGAGCUAGUUACAUAUCUGUCCGUGUUAUAACUGUUACAUGAUGAAUAGCAUCCGGCAUAAUCAUCCAUCACCGAUCCAAUGCCUACGAGUUUUUCCUACUGGUCCUUGCUACGUUACUUUACCGCUAUUGUUGUCACUGUUUCUGCUGUUACUCUGUUGCUACUGUUGUUACUUUGCUGCUACUGGUUACUGUUGCUACUGCUGCUAUCAUACUACCCUGCUACUGAUACUUUGCUGCAGACACUAAAUCUUUUAGGUGUGGUUGAAUUGACAACUCAACUGCUAAUACUUGAGAAUAUUAUUUCGCUUCCCCUUGAGUCGAAUCAAUAAAUUUGGGUUGAAUACUCUAUCCUCGAAAACUGUUGCGAUCCCCUAUACUUGUGGGUUAUCAAGACUAUUUUCUGGCGCCGUUGCCGGGGAAGCACAACUAUAUUCUCUGAGUCACUUGGGAUCUACGUCUGCUGGUCACUAUGAGGAAUCCGAUAGAUCCAAGAACUAAAGUCUUGCCCUCAAUUACGAGGACAGGUAAGGAACUGCCAUCUAGCUCUGCACUUGAUUCACCUUCAGUUAUGAGUAAGUUUGCGACACCGUAUCCUGCUAGAAAUCUUGAUAUGUCGCGUGUGCUUGAUGAUGCUACUUCUACUAUCCAUGAUGCUUAUGAUGAUGAUAUGCUUGAUACUGCUUUUCCACUAGGUGCAUUCCUUGAUGCACAAAUUGCUAGAGUUGCUGCUAGAUGUGAUGAUACUUCUGAAACUGCUGAUACUAUUGAAGUAGAACCUGCUAUUUUUCCUGCUAGAACUAGCUCUCCUAGAAAUGAAUUGCCUGAUAUGCCUGAGCGCUAUGUUAUGGAGGGAGAGAUAACUAAGGACUUUCUUGCUUGUGAGGAUAGCUAUGAUGUUGAGAAAUUAUUGUUCAAGUGGAAAGAAAAAUCUAUGAACGCUAGGAUGAAAUACGACCAGAAGUUUGCUACUUCGCCUAUUUUUGUGACCGAUAAGGAUUAUGAAUUCUUUGUCUACCCUGAGUUAAUCACUUUGGUCAAAUCUGAUCCUUUUUACGGUUAUGAGUCUGAAACGGUUGUAGCCCAUCUUACCAAACUGCACGAUAUAGCCACCCUAUUCACUAGUGAGGAAAAGGUCCGCCACUACUAUAUCCUCAAGCUGUUUCCUUUCUCGCUAAAGGAUGAUGCUAAGACUUGGUUCACUUCUCUUGCUCCUGGUUGUGUGCGUAGCCCCGAGGAUAUGGUCUACUACUUCUCUAAAAAAUAUUUCCCUGCCCAUAAGAAGCAAGCUGCCUUGCAGGAAAUAUACAACUUUGCUCAAGCUGGAGAAGAAAGUCUCCCACAAGCUUGGGGGAGGCACUACUGGAAAAACAUAAUUUGCCGACAGCUUUCAGCUUUGCCGUCAGCAAUUUCACGGGGCUGACGGCAAAGAGACUUUGCCCUCAGCCAAAAUAAAUGCUGACGACAUAGAAAAUCUAUGCCAUCCGCUUUAUCUAAGCCGUUAGCCAGCUGACGACAAAGGACAAAAAACACUGUCGGCAUAGGGAGGCUGACGGCAUAGGGGGCUAACCCGGUCGCACGUUCGACCAGUGCUUAACGGGGGCCGUCUUUGCCGACAGCCAGCUGAGGGCAAAGACUAACGGCUGUCUUUGCCGACAGCUGGCUGAGGGCAAAGACUAAUGCCUGUCUUCGCCGACACCUGGCUGAGGGCAAAGCCACGUGCCUUAUCCCCCCGUGCCACGACCUAACCCCUCUUCUCUCUCACGUACUUCUCCCACCCUGCUCUCCCGACCCACCACCGUCGUCGACCCUACUCGCCCUGCGCCGCCCCGCCCUGCGCCGCCCCGCGCCGCCCCUACUCGCCCUGUCUCUUAUACACAUCUCUGANUAUUUAGUGGGAUUGUAGAUUAAUUAUGUGGCAUACAAGCAUGGUUUGUUGAUGUGGAAGCAUUGCAUGCUUAGGAAAAAUACUUUGUGGGUUGCAACUAUUUAAGAAUAGAAGAUGCAUGUGUAAGACUGAGGAUUGAAAAACAGAGGAAAAGUACAUGAAUAUGAAACAAAUGAAACGUUUGAAAUGGAUGCCUUAGUUAGAUCCUAUGGAAUUUGCAUUCCUGCGUUUUCCUAUGAAAAAUCCUUCAAAUCAAAGGAGGCCUGAGUUAGAUCUGUUAGUAGUGGAUUUUUAGUUAAAUUUAGUUAGCAAUUACUUAGUGGUAGAUUUUUAGUUAGAUUUAGUUAGCAAUAGAUGUUAGUACAUGUAAGUAUUAGUUAGCUAGCUGUUAGUAUUAGUCAGCUAGCUGUUAGUUUUAGUUAGCUAGCUGUUAGCAACAGAAAGAAAAUAAUAAGAAGAAAAGAAAUAGAAGAAGAGAAGAGUAACAAAACUUGAAUAAUAAAUUAUUAAUAAUAGAUGUUAGUAUUAGUUAGCUUAAUUACCGUGAGUGUGUAUUUGUGUUGAUUGAGUGCAUUUAAAUGUGCAGUAGCUUCUCCGCGAGGGAUUGGUUUUCUACGACCUCCCAUGCAUUCGAAAGUGAGCACAUUUGUUAACUCCUCCUCCACCCCCUUUAUUUUGCUCUGUUCCGGCCUUCGUGCUGAUGACACUAUCUAGCUAGGUAUUUUUAGUAUUAAAAUGCAAAGGUGUUGCGUAACCAAUAUGCGUCUCCCGUUUGAAAGGGUUCCUGUCAUAAAUAUGCAUGCAUUUGCAUAUUUAUAACGGUGAUUCUUUCGAAUUGUCCAACGUUAUCCAUGGACAGCCCGGGUAUGUGUAGAUUGGGUCGUUUCCCACGCUUUGCUCCGGAUCCCAUGCAGAGUUUCGACAGCUCCUCCUUGUUGUUCUCCAGGUACACAUCCUCUCGGUUAGUUGCCGAGACGUGUAUCAGGAAAACAGCGGGGAGGUGCUGCCGAAAUUUUGUGUUGGGUCGGGAGCAGAGCAUGGGGAAAUGACCCAAUCUACACAUACUCGGGUGGGAUUAGGACCCAUCUUUACCUAGUAGCUGGUAGGUGUGCAUGUCGUGCAUCCCAAUGUAUUAACCAUGAUUAAAAAAUGGCCAUAAUUAAUUUAACAUACUUGAUGAAUUGAUAAUUUAUAUUGUUUUAUAUGUGGAUACUGUGUAGCUAGCUUGCCAGAAUGACUGAUCGUGAAUGGAUGUACACCGGUCACCGUAGUCAGAGAGAUAUGACCGAUGAAUGGUUGAGAAAAACCUAUGAAUUCGUGGAAACGGCGUUUUCUAAAGGCCAGCCAAAAACAUGGUGCCCCUGCACUAAGUGCAAGAAUUAUUCGCGACAGACAAAGGAUGUAAUGGGUAAACACCUGUAGAUGCGUGGUUUUACUCCCGGCUAUACCUUGUGGACAUUUCAUGGUGAGUCGGCCCAACGUAACAGAGACGAGGUGUUGCGUCGGCGCACCGAUGAUUAUGGUACAGGGAUUGAAGACAUGGUGAAUGACUUUGAUGAUGCUCGGAACAAGGACGAAGAGAUGGAGGAAUCCGCGAAAGCCUUCUAUGCCAUGUUGGAGUCUUCAAAACGUCCUCUUCACGAGCAUACUAAGAUUUCUCAGCUAGAUGCCAUCGCACAAGUAAUGGCUCUGAAAGCCCAGUUCAACAUUGGAAGAGACCUGUUUGACUCAGUGAUGACCCUAUUUGGGCGCUUUCUACCAGAAGGUCAUAUUAUGCCUUCAAACCUAUAUGAGACAGACAAAAUCCUUAGUGCACUCAAGAUGCCGUAUGAGCAGAUACAUGCUUGUGAGAAGGGAUGUGCCUUAUUUAGGAAAGAGUAUGGGGACGAAACAUAUUGUCCAUUUUGCAAGUCCUCCAUAUAUGUUGAGGUAGAAAACGGUGAAGGUGAGAAGAAGCAGAGCAAAAUCCCCGUGAGUGUCCUACGGUAUCUGCCGAUCCUACCAAGACUUCAAGGACUUUACAUGCUCGAAGAAACAGCAAAUCAGAUGACAUGGCACAAACAUGGAAUUAGGAAAGAAUUAGAUGAACACGGAGUUCCGAUGUUGGUACACCCUUCAGAUGGUGACGCAUGGAAGGCAUUCAAUAGUAUACAUAAGGAAAAAAGCUAAAGAACCAAGGAAUUGUCGAACCGCCAUCAGCCUCGAUGGGUUCAAUCCUUUUGGUAUGAGGGCUACCCAAUAUAGUUGCUGGCCUGUAUUUGUCAUUCCCCUCAAUCUUCCACCACCAUCCAUUAUGCAAAGAAAGCACAUAUUUCUGACGUUGAUAGUUCCAGGGCCAAAAUACCCGGGGAAGAAUAUGAGUGUGUACAUGCAACCGCUGAUGGAUGACUUGAAAGAAGCUUGGGUGAAUGGGGUCAACACAUACGACGCAGCUAAGAAAGAGAGCUUUCAAAUGUAUGUUUGGUACCAAUACUCGUUGCAUGAUCUGCCAGCAUUUGCGCUUUUCGUUGCCUGAUGUGUGCAUGGAAGGUUCCCAUGCCCACAAUGCAAGGCAGCUCUUAAGUUUCAUUGGUUGCCGGCGGGUGGGAAGUAUUCCUGCUUUGACUUGCAUAGACAAUUCUUGCCUAUGGACCAUCCAUUCAGAAAAGACAAGAAGAAUUUCAUGAAAGGUAAAGUUGUCAAACACUCAGCACCACCUGCGUUGACGGGGGCACAAAUUAAUGAACAGUUAAAAUCUAUGGAGCCUGAUCCAAACCGUCCAGGGUAUUUCUUGGGUUAUAAUGAGGAACACGCCUGGACCCACAAGCCAUGCAUCUGGGAUCUCCCCUACUUCGAAGACCUCUUACUUCCACACAACAUUGACAUGAUGCACACUGAAAAGAAUAUCGCCGAGGCCCUUCUUGGCACAUUUUUCGGCACUGAUAAGGGCAAAGAUAAUACAAAGGCUAGAGUUGACCAGGAGACUCUGUGUGAUAGGCCAUCACUAAACAUGCGAGAACCGAAAGGAAGAAAAAAUUGGUCCAAACCACCUGCCUAGUACAAUCUUGAGAAGGGAGCAAUAAGGGAAAUCCUCUUGUGGGUGCAAAAAAAGUUGUCGUUCCCCGAUGGGUAUGCUGCGAAUCUAGCGAGGGGAGGAACAAGACUCACGUGAUGAUGAGGAAGAAGUGGAAGUAGAAGAAGUUACCAAUGCCGAUGAGCUAUCAAUGCUUGAUCGGUUACAAAAAGGCCUUCCACAUGAUGUCCCUGAACCCGAUGACGAUAUCAGUCAUGACGACACGUGUGAUACUGAUGAUGAUUUUGCUUCAAUUGACCAUGGAGAAGAGACAGAUGAUCCAGACUAUUAGUACUUUGUAUGCAUCCAAACAUUGUUGUUUAAUUAUUCAAUUAUUAGUUGAAUUAUUCAUGUAUUUAUUAUUGUUCAUUUAAUUACUGUCCUUGAAUUUGUACUAAUUAUUUAACUAUUUAUCGUUACAGGUGGUGAGACAUGGCAGGCGGGGAUAAGUUGAGGAUAGCACCUGGGCAGCUACGGAGAACUUUGUUGCAGAGCUUUGCCGAGGAGCCCAGUGGGAGUGGCAUAGGAAAGAAGAGAGGCAGAUGACGUGGUCGUGGGAGAGGGAGGCUGCAUGAUAGGAGCCAGUCUCCACCACCCUCGGCUACUUCUGUCUCAACCACUUCACCCUUGCAGACGAGGGUGUCACCGGUGCGAGAUCCUCCCGUCCAGGAGCAGACACCGAUGCAGGGGGCUGAGGCGCAGGCUGAGGUGGAGGGGGCUGAGGCGGAGGCUGAGGCGGAGGGUGCGGAGGCAGAGGGGGCUGAGGCAGAGGCUGAGGGGGCUGCUAGCAAGUCGGUCUACCAACGUGGUAUGACACGAGUUCCAGACCGAUUGGAGUUGCAGCACAGGCCGUUCAUUAAGCCAGAUGGCGGGAAGUAAGUUGAUAUAUAUUGUGUACCUUAUAUCAUUAUAUUUCACCAAGUAGCUAAUGUCUUUGCCUUAUCAUUAUGUAGGGGGUAGGAUUACCCGCAGAAUACCCGGAAUCCAAACUGCCUCCUUGGUGCUUUACUUAGGGAGCACUUCCCCGGAAUAGUGCAGUUGCCCGGUGAGGGUAUGGUUCCCGAGCCACGACUCAAGUGGGAGCACUACCAAGCCGCUCUGCUCCCGGAAAACACACAUGUCAAUGGUGUUGUUUGCGUGAGCGUGGCCAACAAGGUGUUGGCUGAUUUUUGGGUAACUAUUAUUUUACCCAAUAAAAAGUAUACAAUGUUAUAUGUUGUUAUUUCCUUCCAAAUCAUUUCACUAUUCAUCUGUGCAUCUAUUUGGCAUAAUUGCAGAGUUACUUUAGGGUCGAGGAGGGAACGGAGGAGGCGGCCAAGAAGAACCUCGUGAAAGAGUGCAAGAGUUUAUUGAAUAACACGAGGCACGAGUUGCGUGUUCAGGCUGUUCGAGAUUGGUACGCCAAGCAAGGGGAGCCGAAGAGAAAGACUGAAUGUCGAAAGAUUUUCCUUGAUAAGACCGAGUACAUGGAGGUAUGUACAUUCCAAAGAUCAAUUCUUAGGGCUAGUUAGGUCUAUUUAAUUAUAAUACUUAGUUUCAUUCUUCAUUAACUUACAUUCAUAGGUGCCCCCGAGAUGGUUGGCCGAUAAGAUGGAUUGUUGGGAGAUGAUAGCGGACAGGUGGUGCACAGAGGCUUGGUUGAGCACCCACACUAUGGCCAAGGACCGUCGUGCCCAAUUGGUUGGUGUGCCACACCACCAAGGCAAUGCCAACAUCAAGAAAUACGCCAAAAAAUGGGUAUGUGUGCCUUGUUUUGUUUCAUCAAUAAUUCGUUCGUUCAUGAUUUUUGUUGUACUAAUUCUUUGUCUUUUCAUGUAGGCCAAACACAAUAACCAACCCGAGCCUGAGGGAUACGCCGCGUUUAGCAUGGCCCAUAAGGGCUCGUACAAGACGGCGAAGGCAUAUUCUGAGGGGGACAUGCCGUCGGCGUACACAAGCCUGUCUACCUACAACAAGAUGACGUCUUAUUCUGAGGUGGUCAAACAGCUACGCGGGCCUGACUUUGACCCGAGCCAGAAUCCUAUCGAUCCAGAGGCGUUAAUGAUCUCUGGUGGCGGUAAGAGUCAUGGCACACUGGCCAUGUGUGAUGGCUUCGUCCCUAUCACCGAGACUCUAUCUCAGAUCAAGUCGAGGCAAACGAGCUCCGCUCCUGUAAUACGGCAACGCGCGAGGCCAGUUGAUCUUGCCAUUGAGGUUAGUUUUCUUCAUUAUUUCUUCCGUUCUUUUGUCCCUGGAUGGAUGAUGAAAAUUCCUUUUGAGGAGUGGUUGCAGGCUGCACUUAUGAAGGAGAGGGAGGCCACCAGGCUCUUGUUGGAGGAGAGGGACCGGAAUAUGCAGAGGUUGCUUGACGAGGAGAGGGCACGCAAUAAUGCCCAUGCGAAGGCCAUGCACGACUUCGUUGCGGUAAGUCAGUUGUGUGAGAAGCAAGGCUAUGUGUGAGACGCAACAAGGCUAUUUCUUUGACUCCUCAAAAACUAAUUUGCAGGCUAUGUGUGAGAAGCAAGGUUUGCCGCCCCCUCCGCCGAUGCCUUCUCCGGUGGGAACGGUGAGUUCGCUUUCAAUGACCAACCUUGCACGGUCUUAUACCAUUGUCUGUCGCCGUGCUAACCACAUAUUUUAACUCUUGCCUUGUUGCAGCAUCAUUCCAGAGUUGAAUCCCACGAUCCCUUUACUUCUCCUGGUGAGAGCCCUAGCAACCCAGCGACCAACGGAGAUGCAGCUUCUCCUCUGUUUCUUAGCAUUCGGUAAGUUAACUCCUCUCCUUCUUAUUCUUCUUAUUGUUUAGAUCAACUUAGAUUAUGCCAGGCUUUAGUUAGCUUAGUAAAUUCUAGUUGAUAUUAGCCAUGGUUUAGUUAGCUUAGUAAAUUCUAGUUGAUAUUAGAGCUCAAAAAUGACAUAAUUAGUUUAGAAAGUUCUAAAAGAAACCAGAAGAGAAGAACAAACAAGAGAUGAAGAAAUAAGAGAAGAAGAAAGAGGAGAAAAAGAUAACUUCNNNNNNNNNNNNNNNNNNNNNNNNNNNNNNNNNNNNNNNNNNNNNNNNNNNNNNNNNNNNNNNNNNNNNNNNNNNNNNNNNNNNNNNNNNNNNNNNNNNNNNNNNNNNNNNNNNNNNNNNNNNNNNNNNNNNNNNNNNNNNNNNNNNNNNNNNNNNNNNNNNNNNNNNNNNNNNNNNNNNNNNNNNNNNNNNNNNNNNNNNNNNNNNNNNNNNNNNNNNNNNNNNNNNNNNNNNNNNNNNNNNNNNNNNNNNNNNNNNNNNNNNNNNNNNNNNNNNNNNNNNNNNNNNNNNNNNNNNNNNNNNNNNNNNNNNNNNNNNNNNNNNNNNNNNNNNNNNNNNNNNNNNNNNNNNNNNNNNNNNNNNNNNNNNNNNNNNNNNNNNNNNNNNNNNNNNNNNNNNNNNNNNNNNNNNNNNNNNNNNNNNNNNNNNNNNNNNNNNNNNNNNNNNNNNNNNNNNNNNNNNNNNNNNNNNNNNNNNNNNNNNNNNNNNNNNNNNNNNNNNNNNNNNNNNNNNNNNNNNNNNNNNNNNNNNNNNNNNNNNNNNNNNNNNNNNNNNNNNNNNNNNNNNNNNNNNNNNNNNNNNNNNNNNNNNNNNNNNNNNNNNNNNNNNNNNNNNNNNNNNNNNNNNNNNNNNNNNNNNNNNNNNNNNNNNNNNNNNNNNNNNNNNNNNNNNNNNNNNNNNNNNNNNNNNNNNNNNNNNNNNNNNNNNNNNNNNNNNNNNNNNNNNNNAUCUUGUUUGCACUUUAAUUACAUAUAUUCGUGCUGUUUGCACUUGUGUUGUGCUGUUUGCACUUUGUGAUGCACUUGUGGUGUUGUUUAGGGGCUGGGGAAAUAUAUAUAUGUUGUUGUUUGUAUCUAUGUUUUGCGAAUGCAGGGAAUUAACAGAAAACAAAUAUGAAAAAAAGCAGAGAGGGUCUUUGCCUACAGCUCACUGACGGCAAAGGCUUUGCCGUCGGUCGACUGACGGCAAAGAAGACACAUGGCGGCAGCCUGUGUAUCCUGGCAACUCUGGGAAUACCAAAUUUUCGGCUUUGCCGUCAGCUGGGCUCCAGCUGUCGGCAAAGAGGCGGCCAAGAGGACCCAGGGGUUUCGGCUUUGCCGUCAGCUUUGCUACGGCUGUGGGCAAAGAGGGGACCUAGGGGUUUUGGCUUUGCCGUCAGCUUUGCUACGGCUGUGGGCAAAGCCUGCCGUUAACCUUCUAACGGAGCUCGGCCUGCGCCAUUGCCGCCACUGCUCUUUGCCGUCAGCCCGUGCCACAAAGCUGAUGGCAAAGUCUUUGCCGUCGGUCGAGCUCUGGCUGUCGGCAAAGAAGGUGAUUGCCGAUAAAAUCUUGGCCGGUACCUUUGCCGACAGCACACUGACGACAAAGCCUUUACCAUCAGUUAAAUUGUCCUUUGCCGUCAGCUCUGGCUGUCGGCAAACCAGCAGAUUCCAGUAGUGAGGCUCGUCCAGCUACUGAAUGCUUUGCCUGAUCACCCUCUUGAGAAGAAUGAAAUACUUGAUAUCUUCUAUAAUGGACUUACCGAUGCUUCUAAAGACCACCUAGAUAGUUGUGUUGGUUGUGUGUUUAGGGAACGAACUGUAGAACAAGCUGAGAUACUAUUGAAUAACAUCUUGUGCAACGAGAAUGCUUGGACUAUUCCCGAACCACCUCCUAAGCCAACUCUUAAGAAGAGAGUUAUUCUAUUCCUCAGUCCCGAAGAUAUGCAGGAAGUUAAGAAAUCUAUGCGAGAGAAAGGCAUUAAAUCUGAAGAUGUCAAAAAUCUACCACCUAUCAAAGAGAUCCAUGGUCUUGAUAAGGCGAUACAGGUAGUAGAAGUAAAUUCUCUGCGUAGGUUUGAUGAGAGUGAUAUUCCUUUUGGUAAACCUGCUAGCUUAUGCCUGGAUGAAUUUGAUAACUUUGUUGCCAAACAACAGAGUUUCAAUGAUUAUGUUAGCAGACAAUUGGAAUAAAAUGCUCGUAUGCUUAGUCAUUUAAGUGCUUGUGUGGACAGAAAUGUCAAUGAUCUUAAGCUCUUGAGUAAACAUGCCUCUAUGGUUAGUACUCAGGUAGAACAAGUACUUAAAGCUCAGAAUGACUUGCUCAAUGAGUUGGAUGACAAUUCUGUUAGAGUCGUCAAUAGAGGCGGUAGAAUGACCCAGGAACCUCUGUAUCCUGAGGGUUAUCCUAAGAGAAUUAAACAAGAUUCUCAAGGAGUUAGCACUGAUGCACCUAGUCAUCCUAGGAAGAAGAAGAAAGAUGAUAGGAACUUGCACGCUAGCAACCCUGAUGCUGAUACACUUGGGAGUCCAAACGAUGUAUCUGCCUCUGAUGCUGAGACACAAUCUGGUGAUGAACAUGAGCCUAAUGAUAAUAUCAAUAGUGAUGUUCAUGAAGAUGCUCAACCUAGCAAUGAAAAGGAUGUAGAGAUUGAACCUGUUGAUCUUGAUAACCCACAACCUAAGAAUAGAAGAUAAGAUAAGAAUGACUUCGCUGCUAGGAAGCAUGGUAAAGAAAGGGAACCAUGGGUUCAGAAACCCAUGCCCUUUCCUCCCAAACCAUCCAAGAAAAAGGAUGACGAGGAUUUUGAGCGAUUCGUUGAAAUGAUUAGACCUGUCUUUUUGCAAAUGCGUUUGAAAGAUAUGCUCAAAAUGUCUCCGUAUGCUAAGUACAUGAAGGAUAUUGUGACUAAUAAGAGGAGGAUACCUGAGGUUGAGAUUUCCACCAUGCUUGCUAAUUAUACCUUCAAGGGUGGAACUCCUAAGAAACUAGGUGAUCCCGGUGUGCCCACUAUACCUUGCUGCAUUAAAGGUAACUACGUUAGAACUGCUUUAUGCGACCUUGGAGCCGGUGUUAGUGUUAUGCCUCUCUCUCUUUAUCGUAGGCUUGAACUGGAUAAGUUGAUACCCACUGAAAUCUUUUUGCAAAUAGCCAAGAAAUCAACUGCUUUCCCUAUCGGCAUUUGUGAGGAUGUUCCUGUUGUGGUUGCUAAUGUCACUAUCUUAACAGACUUUGUUAUCUUGGAUAUUCCCGAGGACGAUGCCAUGGCGGUCAUCCUCGGAAGACCCUUUUUAAACACUGCAGGGGCUGUUAUAGAUUGCAACAAAGGCAAUGUCACUUUCCAUGUCAACGGUAAUGAGCAUACAAUGCACUUUCCGAAGAAACAAUAUCGAGUACAUUGCAUCAAUGCUAUCGAAAAGACUUCAUCGAUUCUUAUUGGGAGCUUUGAAUGCCCUAUACCUCCUGUUAAGAUGAAGUAUGAUUUGAUUGUUGGGGAAAUACACAUCCCCAUUGAGGUGACCUAGUGACUAUUCGAAAAUUCUCCGUUCUCUUUUGUGAUUCGAAAAGGUUUGUCGAGGAGACUUGAUCAACCUCAUUGAUGGAUUUCUUUCGAUGACCAUGAGAUGGAUGAAUCGAGGAGUCACAAACCUCUGUUCCAAGCUUUCACCUUCGGUUGCUUAGAAGAAAAAUGAUAGAUUUAGUUUAAUUUUCCCUGUUUUCUGUUUUAGCGUCCCGGAGAAAAGUACCCCGAAAAUAAAAGUUCUCCGAACGUCCUAAAAAUCAAGAAUGAUUUUUUCUGGAAUUUUUGAAAAAUACUGAGACGAAGAGCUAGUCUGGGGGCUGCACCAGUGGGCCACAAGCCCUGGAGGCGCGGGCACCCCCCGGCCGCGCCUACUAGGCUUGUGGGGCCCACAUGCACCCCCUCCACUCAUUCUUGCUCUUAUAUGCUUCUCCUACCUCCAGAAAAAAUCGUUUCGCAGCUCAAACCCGUGUUCUUGCUCCUCUUGCUGGGAUUUUCGAUCUCUUUGCUCAAAGCACCAUUCUCCGAACUGUUUUGGGGAAAUUACUCCUUAGUAAGUGACUCCUCCAUUGGUCCAAUUAGUUUUUGCUCUAGUGCCUUAUACUUCGCGUAUUUUUUCUGCCUUGGUGACCAUGUUCUUGAGCUUUGCAUGCUAAUUCUAGCUGGUCCCAAGUGGUUUUGACGCGUAAUAUGGCCUCUAGGCACUUGUUGGAGUAGUUGCUACGAGUUUUGUUGAGCCUUGUUCACUUUUCCUUAGAAUCACUAAAAAUUUCAGAAAUUUUCAGAGAUAGAAAAGGGAAAAGAUGAGGAGGUUCUUAAGAGGCUCUUCAAGCCGUGAACCCAAGGAUGAUGGAAAUGAGAAGAAGCCCAAGUAUCCGGUCCCUCGAGUCGCAGAAGUUCGAGCAUGCGAGUGGCCAAGCGACGUGUUCUUACGCGCCGCCGGACUUUAUGAGGACUUUUACUGCUUGGUGGAGAACGCAGACCUUACCACCUUCGUUGAAGAUAAGUGUCCGCAAUACCUCCUCCUUACUAAUAUCUUCGUACAAAGCUUUAAGUUCUAUCCGAGGAAGAAUCCUCCUAUGGUCGAGUUCAAACUUUAUGAUAUCCCCCAACGCAUGUUACUCCAGGAUUUUUGCAAUGUUUGCAAAUUACCUUUCGUUGGGGAUAUUCAUGAACCUCGUCCACGGGAUUUGGAAUCUUUCAUUGAUACAAUUGCUGUAGGAGAGGAGAGAGGAGUGUCUUGUGCUAGAGCUGCUAGCAUUCAUUUUCCCGUGCUUCGGUACUUCUCAUUAUUUGUGGGAAAAUGUUUGAUUGGCCGUGGGAAAGCUGGGUCACUUAGUUCCCCAGAUCUUCCGGUCUUGCACGAAGCCCUUUAUAGUGAUAAAACUUAUAGCUUGGGCGCUAUAGUAGUUCAACGGUUGAACACGAACCGUUCUAAAGGCAUUGUCUAUGGAGGUAUCUAUGCUACUCGUCUUGCUAGACACUUUGAGAUACCUAUUAGACCGGAGGAGGAAGAAGAGAUUCUUCUUCCCGAGAGAUAUCUAGAUUACGAUAGCAUGGUUCGCCAUGACUUUCUUGAUAGAGAUAUAAAUAAAAGGAUGAUUUAUAACCUGGUCUUUAGUCAGGGUACUCGCGAGACUAUUACUUUGCCUGCUCCUUCUUUGUUCAAUCUUCAUGCAGGAAGGUACAUUAUUAUGCCCUUGGACAUCUACGCAUAUUGGGGCAUAGCCCAACCACAGGUGCCCAUGCCCGAGCCACCAGUCGAGUACUAGACGCCAGUUUAUCAGUGGGAGCCAGAGGAGCUCACACGGCAGUGGCAUCCUCAGUCCUCUCCGGAGUACCCCGGAGCUGGUUAUUUCCCUCCUUGGGAGUAGACCAACUUAGGCCAAAAUCCUAAGCUUGGGGAAGUACGUGUUUCUCACCGACUUUACAUUCUUGCUUAUGCUUUCACUUUGUUCGUCGGUGUUCACACUUUGCCACUGUAUCAUCCAUGCUAGUUUAUUUUCUUUUUCUCGUUUUCUUUUCGUGUGUCUGUCUAGUUUGAGAAAACCCAAAAAGAUUUUCUUGUUCUUCUUUUGCUUGUUGGGAGCUUUCCCAUGUAAUUAGUUUUCUUUUCUUUGGGUCAAGGUAGAAGACCAUGGUUACAAUGUUUAGUGGCUCUCGCAUGCAUAUCUGUUUAUCUGUCAAAGAGCCAUAUUACUCUGUCUUCUCCUUUGUGUUUGCCUGCAGAUUCCAGCUUUAGUCCAAUGCACGAGCACUCUUAUUAUUGUUCACAUCAUCCAGUCAUGCAAGUGAAAGGCAAUAAUGACGAUAUAUGAUGAAAUGACUGAGCCUGGAAAAGAUGGUAUGAACUCGAUCUGUUUUGUUUUUGUAAAUAUGACUAGCUCAUCGUUCCUGAUUCAGCUUUGUUGUGAGAGAAACAUGUUUGCAAUGACAACUUAGAGAUCAUAGUUUCUGAUGCCAUGCUUACUUAGCUAGGAGCUUAUAUGGUUUGUCUUGGAUGCCCACAUGAAUGUUGAGAUGGCUAUGAUGUAGUAUGAUAGGAUGGUAUCCUCCUUUGAAUGAUUCAAGUGGCUUGACUUGGUGCAUGUUUACACAUGUAGUUGAAACAAAAUCAACAUAGCCUCUAUGAUAUUCAUGUUCAUGGUGAUUUAUGUCCUACUCAUGCUUGCACUCAAUGUUAGUUAAUCUCAAUGCAUUUUGAUGACUGUUGUCGCUCUCUAGUUGGUCGCUUUCCAGUAUUUGGCUAGCCUUCACUUGUACUAAGCGGGAAUACUGCUUGUGCAUCCACUUCCAUAAACCCAAAGUUGUUCCAUAUGAGUCCACCAUACCUACCUAUAUGGGGUAUCUACCUGCCGUUCCAAGUAAAUUUGCAUGUGCCACUCUCUAAACCUUCAAGAAAUAAUCUGUUUUGCAUGCCCGAACCGCUCAUGUGGUGACAGGGGCUAUCAGUAUCUUCCAUGCUAGGCGUAUUAUCCUCGAUACGUGUUUAUUCACUAUCAUUCACGAGAAAGGGGUCGGUAAUUGGAAUGGCCAGUUCCAUGCUCAAAUCGAAAAGAUAGUUGCAAACAAAACUCCCCCUGGAUUGAUGUUGGUAUGGACGUCACCCGAGUAUUCGGCUAGUCGUGGAGUGUGAUUGAUUGGUGGUGGGGGAGUCAAAACUUUACUUUUCUGUUUGGGAACCGCCUAUAGCAUGUGUAGCGUGGAAGAUGGUGAGAACUCUUAGUCAUUGCGUUGACAAUGAAAGCAUGCCACCCAAAAUUAUUAUCUCUGUUUUCAAAAGCUUGAGCUCCGGCACCUCUGCAAAUCAAUGCUUCCCUCUGCGAAGGGCCUGCCUAUUUAUGUUCGUGUUGAGUCAUCCUCCUCUUAUAAAAGCACCACUUAGAGAGCACCUCUGUCAUUUUUAUGUUUUGCUUUUAACCGUGUCGAGUAUGACUGUGACUGGAUCUUCAUUGCCAUGAUUUACAAUUUUUAGUCAGCCCUUGGUCUUUGAAGGUGCUCUGCAUUCAUGUUUUGCGGUCUCAGAAAGAGCUAGCGAGAUACCAUCUGUUCGUACUGCUUCAUGAUUGCUUUGAUUGAAGUGUUGAUGUUUGAAACUUAUUAUUAUCUGCUCGCUACUUGAUUAUGCCAUUGAUAUGAGUUUACCAUGAGACCAAGAUGUCAUUUGCUUAUGUGGUUUGCUUGUGAUCUUGCUGAAAUUCUGGUUAUGAGUUAGACAUAGUUGCAACAACAAGAUCAAACAGAGUUUGUCAAAGUUUUUCUUUUGUCUCUUUUAGUUUGUCAACUCAAUUGCUUGAGGACAAGCAAGGCUUUAAGCUUGGGGGAGUUGAUACGUCUCCGUCGUAUCUACUUUUCCGAACUCUUUUGCCCUUGUUUUGGACUCUAAUUUGCAUCAUUUGAAUGGAACUAACCCGGACAAACGUUGUUUUCAGCAGAAUUGCCAUGGUGUUGUUUUUGCGCGGAAAUAAAAGUUCUCGGAAUGACCUGAAAAUUUACGGAGAAUUUUUAUGAAAUUAAUGAAAAAUACUGGCGCAAGAAUCAGCGAAGGAAGUGGAGCCAUGAGCCCACAAGCCCACCAGGCGCGGGCCCCCUUGGUCGCGCCUGGCAGGCUUGUGGGGCCCACAAAGCUCCACCGCCUCUAUUUAUCCUCUUUCAUCCGAAAAAAAAAUCAAGGAGAAGAGUUCAUCGCGUUUUACGAUACGGAGGCGCCGCCACCUCCUGUUCUUCAUCCGGAGGGCAGAUCUGGAGUCUGUUUUGGGCUCCGGAGAGGGGAGGUCAUCGCCAUCGUCAUCAUCAACCUUCCUUCAUCGCUAACUCCAUGAUGCUCUUCACCGUUCGUGAGUAAUCUCAUCGUAGGCUUGUUGGACGGUGAUGGGUUGGAUGAGAUCUAUCAUGUAAUCGAGUUAGUUUUGACGGGGAUUGAUCCCUAGUAUCCACUAUGUUCUGAGAUUGAUGUUGCUACUACUUUGCCAUGCUUAAUGCUUGCCACUAGGGCCCGAGUGCCAUGAUUUCAGAUCUGAACCUAUUAUGUUGUCGCCAAUAUAUGUGUGUUUUAGAUCCUAUCUUGCAAGUUGUAGUCACCUACUAUGUGUUAUGACCCGGCAACCCCGGAGUGACAAUAGCCGGAACCACUCCCGGAGAUGACCAUAGUAUGAGGAGUUCAUGUAUUCACCAAGUGUUAAUGCGUUGGUCCGGUUCUUUAUUAAAAGGAGAACCUUAAUAUCCCGUAGUUUCCAUUAGGACCCCGCUGCCACGGGAGGGAUGAACAAUAGAUGUCAUGCACGUUCUUUUCCCUAAGCACGUAUGACUACAUACUGAAUACAUGCCUACAUUAGAUUGACGAACGGGAGCUAGUUACAUAUCUCUCUGUGUUAUAACUGUUACAUGAUGAAUAGCAUCCGGCAUAAUCAUCCAUCACCGAUCCAAUGCCUACGAGGUUUUCCUACUGGUCCUUGCUACAUUACUUUGCCGCUACUGCUGUCACUGCUGUUGCUGUUACUCUUUUGCUACUGCUGUUACUUUGCUGCUACUGGUUACUGUUGCUACUGCUGCUAUCAUACUACCUUGCUACUGAUACUUUGCUGCAGACACUAAAUCUUUCAGGUGUGGUUGAAUUGACAACUCAACUGCUAAUACUUGAGAAUAUUUUUUCGCUUCCCCUUGAGUCGAAUCAAUAAAUUUGGGUUGAAUACUCUACCCUCGAAAACUGUUGUGAUCCCCUAUACUUGUGGGUUAUCAUGCAGCGUGCGUGGGUGUGUACCUCAUGUAUGUGUUUGAGUCGUAGAGAGAAAUAAAGCCAAGAUACAGGCAUUGGUGCGCCGCGGCGUUCGUCGCCGGAAAGAUCGUGGUAUCUCCUUCGUCUACCUUCGUCCGGCGUUUAGGUCGCCGGUGGGUUUGUCCAAACAGUUGGUAUCAUGAGCUUGGUUGGUUUGAGCGUGGUUCGGAGUGCCGGAGGCGUACCAUCGAUGGCGGCAUUCGUCGGCGACAACACGAAGCUUCGGGCCAUGUAUCGGCCUAUGGAGGUGCGCGGCGCUGCGGCUAUCGUGACGAACACGGAGGCGGCGCGCGGUGAGUCCGCAACGAGCGCUGCGAACAUGGAGGCCGAGGCGGCGCGGUUGCAGCACAUAGCGAGAGAAUGGAGACGGCGACGGGCUGCGAGUUCACAACGGUGGUAACCAGCGUAUGUGCGCGAGGUCGAGUCCGGCAUGGUGGUCAUCGGCAAGAGCGCGUCCAGGACAGAGGCGUGCGAGCGGCGGCCGGCGACGAGUGCAAGAUGGCGGUCGACAACAAGCUAUGUCAAGAUUAAAGGGGAAGUUGUUAGCCAUAAUCUUGACUUAGUAUGUGUUGUCCAGGUCGUGUGCCGUUGUGAAGAUCGAGCACGACCAAUGGAUGUGAUGCAUGCAGCAGGUGCAGGAGGAGGCACGAUGGCACCAGGUCUUGCGGAGGAGCGGGCUUCUCACGUUCGAGGGAAGACCGGAUCACCAGGUGAGCUCGUGGCUGUGUAUGGUUGUUGGCCGAAUGAUAGNNNNNNNNNNNNNNNNNNNNNNNNNNNNNNNNNNNNNNNNNNNNNNNNNNNNNNNNNNNNNNNNNNNNNNNNNNNNNNNNNNNNNNNNNNNNNNNNNNNNUUUUUUGAACUUAUUUGAACUCCAUACUUUUUGUGUGUUCAAAAUGCACCAUUCAAAGGCACAUCACAAAUUUUCAACAAUUUCUGACUUCAAUUGGUAUAUUUCGUGCAUUUACUUAUUGUUUUUUGAGCUAGUUGACCCUGAAAUUGAAAAGCACUACAAAUGAACUCUGAAAAUGUUGAAAGUUGGCAUGCUAUCAUCAUUUCACCCACAUAGCAUGUGUUAAAAAGUUGAGAGGGCUACGAAAAAAACUGGAUGCAGUUCGUGUACAAAACUGACAAUCUCUCUCGAAGUAGCAGCGUUUCGAACCAGAACUCAUCUCUUACAAAGGGAUUUCAUUUUUUUGAACUUAUUUGAACUCCAUACUUUUUGUGUGUUCAAAAUGCACCAUUCAAAGGCACAUCACAAAAUUUCAACAAUUUCUGACUUCAUUUGGUAUAUUUCGUGCAUUUACUUUUUUAUUUUUGAGCUAGUUGACCGUGAAAUUGAAAAGCACUAUAUAUGGUGGACACUAGCUCACCUGAUUUUUCAACCGUCGAUGAUGGUCGCUACUCCGACUUCCCCUAGUGCAUAACCAAUAUCUAGCACAAGGAGAAGAAGGAGAAGCGACCCCCACAACAAAAGUGGUUCCGCGGCACGCCACAUGGUUCCGUUGCACGCCACGUGGGACUAAUGAUCUUUCAUUUUUAAAUGAUUGUUUNGUUACAAAAGGGAUUUCAUUUUUUGAACUUAUUUGAACUGAAGACUUUUUGUAUAUAUAUGUGGUCGAAAUGCAUGAUACCAUGAAGUUAGAAAGGGCUAAGCCAUUCAAAAGUAGCAAAUGAAGUUAGAAAGGGCUAAACCAUUCAAAUUUGGAAACUAUAAUGGCACAAACAGAAACUAGACAUAUAUAAAUUGGUCCAAGAAGUACAUGAUACUAGUCCAAACAGUACAUAAUAAUAGCUACAAUAGAUAUAUAUAAAAGUGUUCGAUGUUAAGAACACUACUCGUCUGAAUCAUCUGAAUCAGAAUGUCCACCUUCCUCGAGGUGACGCUGGCCAUAGUGGACGACUCGAAUCUUGCGGUACAACUCAUAUGAAACAUAUGCAUCUUUUGCUGCAUACUCAAUGUUGAUAUCAUCAAGUGGGACCUUCUCCCAAAGUCUGUGCUAAGACUUUGGGAAACUGGUCUUCAUAUCAGUAUAUGAAUCGUCGAUCAAGACAACUGCCAUAUGAGCCAUCGAAGUCCUGUCAUGUCGAAGCCUGAAUAUCGUUUGGAGAUCAACGAGGCAACCAGCUGGUAUCUCAAUACCGAAGCUGUGCCUCAUCUUCAGCUUGUCGUUCCUUAUGUCAACGGAAGCAAAAGUGAUGCCGCUGCGAAGGAAGUUCAUGAGUUCUGGACAAUGUUUGUCACUCCUGCAACAGAAACAAAUUAAAAUGGAACAAAUGUUACAUACUGCUGCAAUAAGNNNNNNNNNNNNNNNNNNNNNNNNNNNNNNNNNNNNNNNNNNNNNNNNNNNNNNNNNNNNNNNNNNNNNNNNNNNNNNNNNNNNNNNNNNNNNNNNNNNNGCUCCUUUGUGUGUGAAUGUGUAUUUUUUUUUUGCUGCUGAUCAAUGUUAAAUAGGCUACGGUCAUAAAAAUUUAUAGACAGUUAAGCCAUUUGCAUUAAUGCAUUGCUGGUUAGAUCUCUUUUUUUUUGCAGAACGGGGGCAUUUCUUACGGCACUGGGGUUGCAAGGGGGUGAAGCUAGAGCAAAGGGACGGGUUGUGAACUAAACUAGUGGCAGGGACGGCCCAGGCGCGUCUCUUGGGGCAGGAUUGGGCGCACUAAUCUAGCUAAUGUAUUUUAGUGAAAGAGAGGCAGUCUAGAGAGUGAUAGUGGUUAAAAAAAUAUAACAAAUGCAUUGUUAGUCUUAACCUUGUAUUAUACAGAAUACACAGAAGUCAGAAAUUGUGCUUUUUACAUAGCCAAAAUAAGCGUACACUAAAGUUACAUGGGACUGAAAUAAGCUUACUCGCAAGAUAUUUGGAAAAUCUGUUUGACAACAAUCCUAAGUUGUGUUUGACAACACUAUCUGGAUGUUGUAAUUUUGACCAAUGCACAUAAAAUAAUUUGACAUGUGUAUCACUGCAUCUCCCUCUUGGUAUGCAAGAAAACAAAGAGCAGAAAAUAAUUUGGCAUCCACCUUCUGCUUCGUUGAUGGCAAUGUUUCAUCCUUCACAAUGAUGGUGAGCAGAAUCUAAUGACACUCUUCUACACACACAAAGUCGCUAGCUGCGGCUCCAGCGCAUACACGCUUACCUUGACCAUGACCUCCAUGGCGUCGAAGAUGAACCAAACCAACCACCGCUCUUCUGCACGGCCGUGUCCCUGUCUCCUCUUCUGGCUACCCCCGCUGUGCUUCUAGGAGAGUCAUCUAAAGUGUACGCAGAGCAGAAAAUUACUUCUCGAGACAAACACUUCAUUUCUAAAAUGCAACAAGCAAGCAUAUUGAAAAACUAAUACAAGAAACAUUUUCAGUACCCAAUAACAUGAUUAAUUAACUCAAUGUUGAGUUCUUUCAAUCUUAUGAAAUCAUAAGAACACAAUAAAUAUACCAGGUGAAUAGGCUCUAUGGUUACAUAGAGCCACAUAUGUGUUUGUGCGUACUAAUCUUCCUCGGGCAAUUGUUAAUGUGCGUAUGCAGUCCAAAUGAGCGUCAUUUAAAAAAAGAAUACAGGCAAUAGAACUGCAGCACAAGAGCAUUCAAUCAUAAAGCUGAAGAGGCAGAGCUAGCUAAUAGGUCUAUAUUAACAGAGAGGUGACAGUCUUACUGAGCAAUGUAAUGUAGUAGCAGUUACAGGAUCAGUAAAAAUUCUUACUGGUAAUGUACAUUCCAUAGACAUUAUUACACAGAAGUGAUUUCAAGAGGAAAAUCCACACAUCAUUUGUGUUAUGUAGGAAUCUCCAGUUCUACUACUAAAUCUAAGCACCCAAGAAUAUACAUGGUACAAAAUGGUGCUAUAUUUAAACUAUUUUUGUGGAAUAUGAACCCCCAAAUAGACGGGAUCGACAAGGCAGAGUAUGCACGGACUUCUACUCGCACGGAAACAUAGGGUUGUAAAUGCUCAAUAACCCACACGAAGCCCGACACAUCGAAAAGAUGGUGAGCAAUGAUCAGACAAGUGCAGUGAUCGGAUGGAGAGAGGAGAGUUUAAACAGAUCCAUAAUUUCUAUUCACGUGAGUAUAUAUGGCUCUCUUUCUUUCUAUACUUAAAAAUUACAAUAGUUCAUAAGAAUGUGUAGAAACUUAUCUUCAUAUAACAAAUAGAUUAGGCAAAAGUGAACACUAACUUCAACUACAUGGAAUUAUAGCUAAGAUAAUGCAUAUCAGCGUAUUGUCUCUACUUCUUUUGGGGAAUCUCUAAUGUGCAAAUAAAUGGAAUCAGUAUGCAUAGAAGUAAUAUCUUUAUUUCAAGAGUAAAAUAGUUUAUUCCUCCUAAUCUUCCUAUCUUGAACUCUACAAAGAGAUACCAUCCAUGCUGCCUCUCGGUCCGCUGUAAGGAAUCAAUUAACUGAACACAUUAGGGAUGAAAUGCUAGCUCAUAUCUGCUUGAGGUAUAAGAUAGAAGGUCUCAAAGACUGAAACAGAAGGAAACAUUGGAUAGUAUGUCCAAGGCAAUUCGUUUAAUCAUAGCUUGCCAUUUAUUCGCCGUUGUCCUAGGAAAAUCUAUCUUUUCAAUGGUGUUUCCUUACUUGCAGGCUCCAAUUGGCAUGAAUAAAAAUAGUUACUUAUUGUAGAGCAACUGUAAAAUAGUGCAAACUGAAUAUCAUCAACGGCUGGAAGGUAAUACGUUAUAGUCUACAUAGGUUACCACAACGGAAGCAGAGUACUACCCACCAAGAGAAACUUUACUCCAGAAUGAAACACCUAGAGAUGUCUACAUGUUAGUUUCAGGAGCAGUGGUUAGUCCAACUAUAAAUUUGAUGAUUGUCAAGGUACCUACAGAUGUUUACAUAUUAAUUAUGAUUAUCCCUGUGAGUGAAUGAAGUUUAAUUAUGACUUUGUAUGAAUGAAGCCCAUGAUUCACAUCUCAGCAAUGGCCCUAGACCUAGUUUAUGCAGCGAUUGCAAGAACAUCAAGGUGAGAAUGGCCAUGAGAAAAGGAAAGAAGGGGAGGAAAAAACAGUGUAUACUUGAUGAGCGUCCCUCCUUUGCUGAUGAGCGCGCCGCAGCAGGUGUCGGGCACCACCCUAACGUCAUAAUCGAUCAACGGGUAGAGGAUCUUCUAGGAAGUUAAGUGAACACACACAUUUUCUAGGAAGUUUAUCGGUGUUAUUGGAUCAGAUCUUAUAAUUACAUAACAACUCUUACUAAGCAAGUCGCAGCUCGAACCAUACACACUAGUGGAAAACGGGCCUUUGGCCUGGACCAUUUAGUCCCGGCCUGCCUCUGGGCCGGGACUAAAGGCCCGGCCACGUCGCCCCAAUUCUCAAUGCCUCCCUCGAGGCUUUAGUCCCGGCCCGUAAGGAGCCUUUUGUCCCGGUUUGUGUCGCAAACCGGGACUAAAGGGCUACGCGGCGGGCAGUGGUGGUGGCAACCGUUCGUAUCCCCCUUUAGUCCCGGUUGGUGGGUCAAGCCGGGACUAAAGGACUAACACGUGGCCUGCCGUAGUGGUGGCGACCGNCCGUUCGUAUCCCCCUUUAGUCCCGGUUGGUGGGUCAAGCCGGGACUAAAGGACUAACACGUGGCCUGCCGUAGUGGUGGCGACCGUUGGUAUACCUCUUUAGUCCCGGUUGGGUGGCUCAACCGGGACUAAAGGCCUAACACGUGGCCUGCCGUAGUGGUGGCAACCGUUUGGUAUCCCCCUUUAGUCCUGGUUGGUGGCUCAACCCGGGACUAGAGGCCCAAACGGUUUGCAUCCCGCGUCGUUUAGGGCGAUGAAAAGCACGAACCGAAGCGUACAGUCGCCAUUUCUCUGUUCUUCUUCUCUCUCGCGUCGCCCUCUCUGUUCUUCUUCUCUCUCGCGUCGCCCUCUCUGUUCUUCUCCUCUGUUCUUCUCCUCUGUUCUUCCACCAUGCCAACUAGCUUUCGUAAGGUGCUCGCACAUGGCACGACGAUGCUCGAUGUCGUGUACACGAACCUGAGCAACGAGGUGCCGUUUUUUCUUCAACAGUUGAAGGAAAAAUGGUUUGACCACGCAGCGGAUCAUGAGAAGUUCUUGGGGCUUGAUCUGGAGUACACGGCCGAUCAACGCGGUGUUGCCGUCAUCCAGCUAUGCUUCCAACGCCAUGUCUUGAUCUUCCAAUGGGCGAAGUAAGUUUUGAGGCUUUCUUUGAUUCAAGAUAAUGACACUGUAAGUUUAUUUGUUUCAAUCAUAGUUGGUUCCCUUCAAAUAGUUGUAGUGAAACAAUUUUGAUUAGUUGAAGGGGAGCACAAUCUAAUUGGAAUAGUGUUCCAUAAUCUGAAAAAUCGUAUUAGAAUCAACUAGUGUUUAAUAUGUUCCAUUGGAAUCAUAGUUGGUUCCCUUCNNNNNNNNNNNNNNNNNNNNNNNNNNNNNNNNNNNNNNNNNNNNNNNNNNNNNNNNNNNNNNNNNNNNNNNNNNNNNNNNNNNNNNNNNNNNNNNNNNNNUCCUUGGACGUUGGAGCGAAUCAAGGAGAGGUUAGUUGCUUAGUGGCCGGGUCAUGUGGUAGUGGCCGUAUGUGGUGGUCAUGCGUUGUGGCUAGCUACUUAGUCUCGUUAGUGGGGUGUGUGUGGCCGCUGGCCUGUUUGUGCAACCGGCUAUAAAAGCCCCGCGUGUACUGUUUGUAGAAGGUGCCGGUGUGUGUAGCCGUGCUCCGGUGUGUUGCCGAGCGACGGGGUGUGCCGAGCCAAGUGUGAGGGGCCUAGAAGAUGUAGUCUUCGUCGGGACCGUGAUGUGUGUCCGGUAAACGUGAGAGUUCUUCCGGGUUGUGCAGCGUGCGUGCGUGUGUACCUCAUGUAUGUGUUUGAGUCGUAGAGAGAAAUAAAGCCANGUGAGAGUUUUUUCGGGUUGUGCAACGUGCGUGCGUGUGUACCUCAUGUAUGUGUUUGAGUCGUAGAGAGAAAUAAAGCCAAGAUACAUGCGUUAGUCCGCUGCGGCAUUCGUCCCUGGAAAGAUCGUGGUAUCUCCUUUAUCUACCUUCGUCCGGCGUUUAGGUCGUCGGUAGGUUUGUCCUAACAGUUGGUAUCAUGAGCUUGGUUGGUUUGAGCGUGGUACGGAGUGCCGGAGGCGUACCAGCGAUGGCGGCAUUCGUUAGCAACAACGCGAAGCUUCGGGCCGUGUGUCGAUCUAUGGAAGUGCGCGGCGCUGCGGUUGUCGUGACGAACACGGAGGCGGCACGCGGUGAGUCCGCAAUGAGCACUGCGAACAUGUAGGCCGAGGCGGCGCGGUUGCAGCACAUAGCGAGAGCACACGACGACGGGCUGCGAGUCCACAACGGUGGUAACCGGCGUAUGUGCGCCAGGUCGAGUUCGGCAUCAUGUUGAUCGGCAAGAGCGCGUCCAGGACAGAGGCGUGCGAGCAGCGGCCGGCGACGAGUGCAAGAUGGCGAUCGACAACAAGCUAUGUCAAGAUUAAAGGGGAAAUUGUUAGCCAUAAUCCUGACUUAGUAUGUGUUGUCAAGGUCGCUUGCCGUUGUGAAGAUCCAGCACGACCAAUGGACGUGAUGCAUGCAACAGGUGCAGGAGGAGGCACGAUGGCACCAGGUCUUGCGGAGGAGUGGGCUCCUCACGUUCGAGGGAAGACCGGAUCACCAGGUGAGCUCGUGCCUGCGUAUGGUUGUUGGCCGAAUGAUAGNGGGCUCCUCACGUUCGAGGGAAGACCGGAUCACCAGGUGAGCUCGUGCCUGCGUAUGGUUGUUGGCCGAAUGAUAGGCCUAGUCCUUGGAUGUUGGAGCGAAUCAAGGAGAGGUUAGUUGCUUAGUGGCCGGGUCAUGUGGUAGUGGCCGUACGUGAUGGUCAUGCAUUGUGGCUAGCUACUUAGUCUCGUUAGUGGGGUGUGUGUGGCCGGUGGCCUGUNNNNNNNNNNNNNNNNNNNNNNNNNNNNNNNNNNNNNNNNNNNNNNNNNNNNNNNNNNNNNNNNNNNNNNNNNNNNNNNNNNNNNNNNNNNNNNNNNNNNCUUUAGCAAAGCCAGCUGGAAUCUCACGGCCAUGCCAGCGUGCAUCAGGGCCAGAAGGUAAAGCUUGUCCAACAGCCACCUUCAUGGAUAUGUUCGUGAAUUUCUGAUGGAGUUCACAUGAUGUUGACUCCUUGAUUCCAUCCAGGGGGUAGCCGGGACCGCCCUGUAUUAUUCUUCGUUCAUCGCCGGGCGGGGCCUCAGAUUCAGCCACGCUGCUUUUCCGCUUAGAUGGGGCGCCGGUAAUAUCAAGUGCAGGAUCUUCCUGGCGCGGUACUCCUCUAAGCUCAUCAAUCUGCUUCUGUUGCUCGUUAAUCCUGGCAAGCAACUGGUUGAAAUUGUCAUUCUUCUCAUCCUGCUGCCGCUUCUUUGCUCUCUCUCGGCUUCUGUAAGUGUCUUGGUCUCUGGCAAACCCAAGCCACCACGAGUAAGAUGGACCGAAGCCUCGCGUUCGUCCUCCAUGUUCGUCAUUGCCGAGGACCAAUGUGAGCAAAUCUUUAUCUCUAUCUGCAGUGAACUUUCUUUGUCCCUCCUUAAUUUCUUUCACUAUCCUUUUCCAAUUCUCCCUGGGUAUCCUAAGAUUGUCAUUGCAGAUGAGGUCCCCUGUUUUUUCGUCGUACGACCCACCAUGCGCAAGGAACCAAUAUCUUGCUCUCAAUUCCCACUCAUCACGGAGUGGUUCAGGUACGAUGCCUUUAUCUAUCAGAUCUUGCUCUUUCUUUUCCCACUUUGGGAUGGCAGUCUCAUAGCCCCCUGGCCCCAGCUUGUGGUGAUAUUUCUUCUUAUCUGCAUUUAUCUUGUUUUUUUCUGAUAAUGCCUGGGCAUCUUCUGACUCCUUGUACUCUUGAAAUUCCUUCCAGUGAUUCGCCUGCUUGGCUAGAUACCCCUCGAAUACUGGCACUUUCUUGGUCUCCAGAUAGUUUUUCCAUAGCUUCUUCUUCCAGCUACGGAACAGUUCGGCCAUCUUCUUUAGAGUCCACUGCUUGACUUUGGCCCUCAAUUUGUCUGCGGCGUCUUCAUUCUCACAUUCUGGCAGGUUGAAAUGUGACAUGAGAUCAUUCCAAAGAUUAUCUUUGUACCUUUCGGCGACAUAGUCACUAUCGGCUGCCCCUUUGCGCUUGUUCCACUCCCGAACGCUGAUCGGGACGUGAUCCCUAACGAGAACUCCGCAUUGCUUCUUGAAUGUGUCAGCAGCAUUCUUAGGAAGCUUGGGUUCGCCCGUAGGCAUUAUCACCUCAAAGGUGUAAUGCGUCCGUGCAUCCAACUUUCUAGUCGGGCCUCGUUUCGUAGAUUUGCUCGAUGUGGAGGCCUAAGAGGGAGAAACAUUCAUCAAAUGAAUGUAUAUGUAUACAAUAUAGAGCUAUCUCCAAUAUUUUUCACAUAUUACAAGUGAUUGUCGAACUUUAUAUGUAUACCUCGCCGGACAUUAUUAUUUCUUCACCGGCUUCUCCACCGGCUUCUCCAUCAGUGGAGCUAUCAUCACCUUCUCCGUCAUUGGACCUAUCUCCUGCCCCAUCGGCUUCAUCUUCGUGUCGCUCGACCUCCAUUCCAUAUCCAGAGUCGUUUAGAUAUGACGUCGGAGAUUCGGCUGGUUCACGUCGGGGCCGUCUUUGAUUAUAUCUUCGAGAAGUUCUUCCUCUUCAAGGUUCCUGAUAUGUGGAUCCAUAGUUCUGCAAAAAACGGACAUUUGAUUAACUAAUAAACUAACAAACUAUAUAAGAGGGGUUGGAAACUUCGAAGGCUCGUUUUAUAUAGGAGGACCUUUAGUCCCGGGUCUUGGCUAGAACCUAAACUCUAAAAUACCAGCCUGGCGGAGCCUAGUCCCGGACACUUAAGCAUAUACAAUAGCAAAAUUAAACUAGUUCCAGCAUAUACAAAAGAAAAAUUAAACUAUUAACACUUAAGCAUAUACAAUAGCAAAAUUAUAUUUCUACUUCUACUUCUCCUAUUCUUCUACUUCUACUUCUACUUCUCCUAUUCUUCUACUACUUCGUCUCCUCUCCUCUUCUUCUAUUUUUCCUCUUCUUCUCCUCUCCUCCUCUUCUUAUUCUCCUUUUUCUUCUUUUCUUCUCCUCCUUUUCUUAUUCUCCUUUUUCUUCCUUUCUUCUCCUUUUUCUUUCUUNNNNNNNNNNNNNNNNNNNNNNNNNNNNNNNNNNNNNNNNNNNNNNNNNNNNNNNNNNNNNNNNNNNNNNNNNNNNNNNNNNNNNNNNNNNNNNNNNNNNGUACUUCUGUCGUCCGUCAUUAACAUUGUCCAUAAAAUUAAUGAAAAUUACCCACAAUUGCCACUUAUAAGUCAUAGAAAACGUUUCAAACAGGAAAAUCUCCUGACUGGGCUGGCCCAUGUAGGCACCUCCUAUAUUACGCUCUGGAUAUUGGAAAAAGAUGCAGCACCUAUUUGGACCCGCCCAUGCGUGGCCGCCUGUUCUUUUAGUUUAGGUUUUUAUUUUACUUUUCAGUUCCAUUUUUUUCUACUUUAAAUAAUUUAGAACUUCAAAUAACUUUUCUUAAAUUUAAGAAAUUGAGAAUUUUGAAAUAAAAUANAAUAAUUUUAAAAAAAAGUCCGUGUAAAAAUCUUAAAAACAGUUCGUGCCUCUGCUUUUAGUCUCAUUUUUUAUUUUCAUUUUCUAAAAUUUAAAUAAUAUAGACUUUUGAAAAACUUUUGCAACUUAUAAAACUGAGAAUUUUGAAGAAAACAUAAAAUGUUGGAUAGUAAAUCCAUCCGUCAUCACCAACGAUUUUGAACUCAACUAACGGUUUUGCACGAUCGCUAUCAUGGAAAGAAGUGUUCAACAGGAAAGAAAUUCAGACAUGACAUGGCAGCAGCAUUUCUACUUGGAUUUGAGAAUCACAACAUGUAUCUGUCCAUUCCAUUCAGAAUGUUGAAUGUUGGAUUUGAGCAUAUUUCGAAUGUUGGAUUUGAGCCAACAUUCAACAUUCAACAUGUAUGUAUGGAUUUCUUCGUCUUCUUCUNNNNNNNNNNNNNNNNNNNNNNNNNNNNNNNNNNNNNNNNNNNNNNNNNNNNNNNNNNNNNNNNNNNNNNNNNNNNNNNNNNNNNNNNNNNNNNNNNNNNAAUACCCUAAUGUGAACUUCACUUAAUGUGUAGUAUUCGAUUGUUGUGAUUGCCAUGCCUUGCAUAUUUGAUCCGGACAUGCAUCAUAUGUGUUUGUGCAUCAUGCCUUGCAUAUGUGGUGUUGUUUAUCUUGUGUUGAUUGUUUGUUUCCGGAUUGUUUCUUCUCGAUGGAGUUUUGAAACCGCUUUGGAGUGAGAGGAUUCGGUCGACUACGUUGGUUCGUCUACUUCAUGGAUUCGUUUUUCUUCCAAGUGGGAUCUCAAGCAAGAUGAUGAUUUUCCUAGAUACCACUACUAUCAUUGCUAUGCUAGUUCUCUCGUUUCUAUUACUAUGUACCGCUGCCUACCACCUGUUAAUGUCAGCCUCCCAACAUUGCCAUGAAAAGCCUCUAACUCCUUCUAGAUCCCAGCAAACCUUUGUUUGGCUAUGUUACCGCUUGUUGAGCCUUCUUAUAAUGUUGCUAGUUGUAGGUGCAGAUGCUUCCAUGUGAAAACAUGGGUUCCUUGAUAUAUCAUCAUAUUAUUCCUAAUUAAUUUAAUGCACCUAUAUACUUGGUAAGAGGUGGAAGGCUUGGCCUUCUAGCUUGGUGUUUUGUUCCACCUUUGCUGCCCUAGUUACUUGUGUACCAGUGUCAUGUUCCAUAUUGAGCGCUCCUAACAUGCUUUGGGUUGUUAUCGGGACCCCCUUGAUUUUCUAUUUGGGAUAAAACUCUUCUGGCAAGGACCAACAUUGGUUUUACAUCUGCCUAAUAACUAAUAAAAAGCAUAGGGACCUGCCGGCACCCGCGAAUAAUUAAUCAACCCCGGGUCAGUGCUCCUCAUGAGUGUUGGUCCAAAUCGGGUGAUGUCCAGCGGCCCAUGGUCACCCGGGAUUUCAGCCAACUCGAUGUCUUGCCCAUCUGGUAGUGCCCUGAGAAAGAGAUACACACGUCUCCUAUUGGGAUCUGGCCUGCCGGGCGGCCUUGCUGGAUUUAUUUUACCUUUCUCGAAUGUCUUGUGCGUGGGAUUCCGAGGAUACUUUGGGCUAUCUCGAGGUUUAGUUUUUUCAUCGGAAUUGUCGAGGAGACUACGGGUUUUACUUGGUUGAGGUUAUUCCAUGCAGCUUGUGGUGGUUUGAGAUGGACUAGUUGGAGCACCUUUGUAGGGUUAAAUCUUUCUGAGAGCCGCGCCUGCGGUUAUGUGGCAGCUUGAAAACUUUGUUUAACACUCGGUCAUAGCAAACUUGAAGUAAACUUAAUUAAAAUAUGCCAACUGUGUUCCCAACCGUGACUAUUUCUUCUCGUGAGUUCUUAUCCAAGAGAGGAAACGAUGUGGUUAUGUCUGAUUCUUAAGUAGGUAUUCGGGAUCAUUCCUUGAUAAUUAUUAGCUCACGGUCAUUUAUUCAUAGAUCACCCCCCUCUUAUUAUUGUACUCAUAAGUUAGCCUCCCAAAUAAAAUGCUUAGUGUGUUGGGGAACGUCGCAUGGGAAACAAAAAUUUUCCUACGCGCACGAAAACCUAUCAUGGUGAUGUCCAUCUACGAGAGGGGAUAUUCGAUCUACGUACCCUUGUAGAUCGCACGGCAGAAGCGUUAGUGAACGCGAUUGAUGUAGUGGAACGUCCUCACGUCCCUCGAUCCGCCCCGCGAACCGUCCCGCGAUCAGUCCCACGAUCUAGUGCCGAACGGACGGCACCUCCGCGUUCAGCACACGUACAGCUCGACGAUGAUCCCGACCUUCUUGAUCCAGCAAGAGAGACGGAGAGGUAGAUGAGUUCUCCGGCAGCGUGACGGUGCUCCGGAGAUUGGUGGUGAUCUAAUCUCAGCAGGGCUCCGCCUGAGCUCCGCAGAAACGCGAUCUAGAGGUAAAACCGUGGAGAUAUGUGGUCGGGCUGCCGUGGCAAAGUUGUCUCAAAUCAGCCCUAAAACCUUCGUAUAUAUAGGGGGAAGAGGGGGAGCCUUGCCUUGGGGUCCAAGGACCCUCAAGGGGUUCGGCCGAGCCAAGGGGGGGAGUCCCCCCUUCCAAACCGAAUCCAACUAGGUUUGGAAGGAGGAGUCCUUCCCCUUUUUCCCACCUCCUUUUUUUUCUUUUCUCUUUGAUUUUCUUCCUAUGGCGCAUAGGGCCUUCUUGGGCUGUCCCACCAGCCCACUAAGGGCUGGUGCACCACCCCCAAGGCCUAUGGGCUUCCCCGGGGUGGGUUGCCCCCCCCCCCCGGUGAACACCCGGAACCCAUUCGUCAUUCCCGGUACAUUCCCGGUAACUCUGAAAACCUUCCGGUAAUCAAAUGAGGUCAUCCUAUAUAUCAAUCUUCGUUUCCAGGCCAUUCCGGAAACCCUCGUGACGUCCGUGAUCUCAUCCGGGACUCCGAACAACAUUCGGUAACCAACCAUAUAACUCAAAUACGCAUAAAACAACGUCGAACCUUAAGUGUGCAGACCAUGCGCGUUCGAGAACUAUGUAGACAUGACCCGAGUGACUCCUCGGUCAAUAUCCAAUAGCGGGACCUGGAUGUCCAUAUUGGAUCCCACAUAUUCUACGAAGAUCUUAUCGUUUGAACCUCAGUGCCAAGGAUUCAUAUAAUCCCGUAUGUCAUUCCCUUUGUCCUUCGGUAUGUUACUUGCCCGAGAUUCGAUCGUCAGUAUCCGCAUACCUAUUUCAAUCUCGUUUACCGGCAAGUCUCUUUACUCGUUCCGUAAUACAAGAUCCCGCAACUUACACUAAGUCACAUUGCUUGCAAGGCUUGUGUGUGAUGUUGUAUUACCGAGUGGGCCCCGAGAUACCUCUCCGUCACACGGAGCGACAAAUCCUAGUCUCGAUCCAUACUAACUCAACGAACACCUUCGGAGAUACCUGUAGAGCAUCUUUAUAGUCACCCAGUUACGUUGCGACGUUUGAUACACACAAAGCAUUCCUCCGGUGUCAGUGAGUUAUAUGAUCUCAUGGUCAUAGGAAUAAAUACUUGACACGCAGAAAACAGUAGCAACAAAAUGACACGAUCAACAUGCUACGUCUAUUAGUUUGGGUCUAGUCCAUCACGUGAUUCUCCUAAUGACGUGAUCCAGUUAUCAAGCAACAACACCUUGUUCAUAAUCAGAAGACACUGACUAUCUUUGAUCAACUGGCUAGCCAACUAGAGGCUUGCUAGGGACGGUGUUUUGUCUAUGUAUCCACACAUGUAAAUGAGUCUUCAUUCAAUACAAUUAUAGCAUGGAUAAUAAACGAUUAUCUUGAUACAGGAAUUAUAAUAAUAACUAUAUUUAUUAUUGCCUCUAGGGCAUAAUUCCAACAGUCUCCCACUUGCACUAGAGUCAAUAAUCUAGCCCUCACAUCACCAUGUGAAUUACAUUGUAAUAAAUCUAACACCCAUACAGUUCUGGUGUUGAUCAUGCUUUGCCCGUGGAAGAGGUUUAGUCAGCGGGUCUGCUACAUUCAGAUCCGUGUGCACUUUGCAUAUAUUCACGUCCUCUCCCUCGACGUAGUCGCGGAUGAGGUUGAAGCGUCGUUUGAUGUGUCUGGUCUUCUUGUGAAACCGUGGUUCCUUUGCUAAGGCAAUGGCACCAGUGUUGUCACAGAACAAGGUUAUUGGAUUCAGUGCGCUUGGCACUACUCCAAGAUCCGUCAUGAACUGCUUCAUCCAGACACCCUCCUUAGCCGCCUCCGAGGCAGCCAUGUACUCUGCUUCACAUGUAGAAUCUGCUACGACGCUUUGCUUGGAACUGCACCAGCUUACUGCACCCCCAUUAAGAAUAAAUACGUAUCCGGUUUGUGACUUAGAGUCGUCCGGAUCUGUGUCAAAGCUUGCAUCGACGUAACCUUUUACGGCGAGCUCUUCGUCACCUCCAUACAUGAGAAACAUCUCCUUAGUCCUUUUCAGGUACUUCAGGAUAUUCUUGACCGCUGUCCAGUGAUCCACUCCUGGAUUACUCUGGAACCUACCUGCCAUACUUAUGGCCAGGCUAACAUCCGGUCUAGUGCACAACAUCGCAUACAUGAUAGAACCUAUGGCUGAAGCAUAGGGGACGGAGCGCAUAUGCUCUCUAUCUUCAUCAGUUGCUGGGCACUGAGUCUUACUCAAUCUCGUACCUUGUAGAACUGGCAAGAACCCUUUCUUGGACUGUUCCAUUUUGAACCUCUUCAAAACUUUAUCAAGGUAUGUGCUUUGUGAAAGUCCUAUCAGGCGUUUUGAUCUAUCCCUAUAGAUCUUAAUGCCUAGAAUGUAAGCAGCUUCUCCUAGGUCCUUCAUAGAGAAACUUUUAUUCAAGUAAUCCUUUAUGCUUUCUAAAAACUCUACGUUGUUUCCAAUCAGUAAUAUGUCAUUCACAUAUAAUAUUAUAAACGCCACAGAGCUCCCACUCACUUUCUUGUAAAUACAAGAUUCUCCAACCACUUGUAUAAACCCAAAUGCUUUGAUCACCUCAUCAAAGCGUUUGUUCCAACUCCGAGAUGCUUGCACCAGUCCAUAAAUGGAUCGCUGGAGCUUGCACACCUUGUUAGCAUUCUUAGGAUCGACAAAACCUUCGGGUUGUAUCAUAUACAAUUCUUCCUUAAGGAAACCGUUAAGGAACGCCGUUUUGACAUCCAUCUGCCAGAUUUCAUAAUCGAAAAAUGCAGCUAUUGCUAACAUGAUUCUGACGGACUUAAGCAUCGCUAUGGGUGAGAAUGUCUCAUCGUAGUCAACUCCUUGAACUUGUGAAAAACCCUUUGCCACAAGUCGAGCUUUAUAAACGGUCACAUUACCGUCAGAGUCCGUCUUCCUCUUAAAGAUCCAUUUGUUCUGAAUGGCCUUGUUGCCCUCAGGCAGUACCUCCAAAGUCCACACUUUGUUCUCAUACAUGGAUCCUAUCUCGGACUUCAUGGCUUCCAGCCAUUUGUUGGAAUCUGGGCCCACCAUUGCUUCUUCAUAAUUCGCAGGUUCAUUGUUGUCUAACAACAUGAUUGACAAGACGGGAUUACCGUACCACUCUGGAGCAGCACGUGGUCUCGUCGACCUGUGUGGUUCGACAGAAACUUGAACUGGAGUUUCAUGAUCAUCAUCAUUAACUUCCUCCUCAACCGGCGUCGCAAUGACAGAGGUUUCCCCUUGCCCUGCGCCACCAUCCAGAGGGAUGAGAGGUUCGACAACCUCGUCAAGUUCUAUCUUCCUCCCACUCAAUUCUCUCGAGAGAAACUCCUUCUCGAGAAAAGCUCCGUUUUUAGCAACAAACACUUUGCCCUCGGAUUUGAGAUAGAAGGUGUACCCAACUGUCUCUUUUGGGUAACCUAUGAAGACGCACUUUUCCGCUUUGGGUUCCAGCUUUUCAGGCUGAAGCUUUUUGACAUAAGCAUCACAUCCCCAAACUUUAAGAAACGACAACUUUGGCCUUUUGCCAUACCACAGUUCGUAUGGUGUCGUCUCAACGGAUUUUGAUGGUUCCCUAUUUAAAGUGAAUCCAGCUGUUUCUAAUGCAUAACCCCAAAAUGAUAACGGCAAAUCGGUAAGAGACAUCAUAGAUCGCACCAUCUCUAAUAAAGUACGAUUACGACGUUCGGACACACCAUUACGCUGUGGUGUUCCAGGCGGUGUCAACUGUGAAACAAUUCCACAUUGUCUUAAGUGAGCACCAAACUCGAAACUCAGAUAUUCACCCCCACGAUCAGACCGUAGGAACUUGAUCUUCUUGUUACGAUGAUUUUCAACUUCACUCUGAAAUUGCUUGAACUUUUCAAAUGUUUCAGACUUGUGCUUCAUUAAGUAGACAUAACCAUAUCUACUCAAAUCGUCAGUGAAGGUGAGAAAAUAACGAUAUCCGUCGCGUGCCUCUACGCUCAUCGGACCGCACACAUCGGUAUGUAUGAUUUCCAACAAGUCACUUGCACGCUCCAUUGUUCCGGAGAACGGAGUUUUAGUCAUCUUGCCCAUGAGGCAUGGUUCGCACGUGUCAAGUGAAUCAAAGUCAAGUGACUCCAAAACUCCAUCAUCAUGGAGUUUCUUCAUGCGCUUUACACCAAUAUGACCUAAGCGGCAGUGCCACAAAAAUAUGGCGCUAUCAUUGUUAACUCUAACUCUUUUCGUCUCAAUGUUAUGUAUGUGUGUAUCACUAUCAAGAUUCAAUAUGAACAAACCUCUCACAUUGGGUGCAUGACCAUAAAAGAUGUUAGUCAUAGAAAUAGAACAACCAUUAUUCUCUGACUUGAAAGAGUAACCGUCUCGCAAUAAACAAGAUCCAGAUAUAAUGUUCAUGCUCAACGCAGGCACUAAAUAACAAUGAUUCAAGUUCAUAACUAAUCCUGAUGGUAACUGAAGUGAAACUGUGCCGACGGUGAUUGGAUCAACCUUGGAACCAUUUCCUACGCGCAUCGUCACUUCAUCUUUCGCCAGCCUUCGUCUAUUCCGCAGUUCCUGUUUCGAGUUGCAAAUAUGAGCAACAGAACCGGUAUCGAAUACCCAGGCACUACUACGAGAGCCGGUUAAGUACACAUCAAUAACAUGUAUAUCAAAUAUACCUGAUUUUUCUUUGGCCGCCUUCUUAUCUGCCAGAUACUUGGGGCAAUUGCGCUUCCAGUGACCCAUACCCUUGCAAUAGUAACACUUUGUUUCAGGCUUAGGUCCAGCUUUGGGUUUCUUCGUCAGAUUGGCAACAGGCUUGCCGCUCUUCUUUGAAUUACCCUUCUUGCCUUUGCCGUUUCUCUUGAAACUAGUGGUCUUAUUCACCAUCAACACUUGAUGCUCUUUACGGAGUUCAGACUCUGCGACUUUCAGCAUCGCAAACAACUCGCCGGGUGACUUGUUCAUCCCUUGCAUGUUGUAGUUCAACACAAAGCCUUUAUAGCUUGGCGGCAGUGAUUGAAGGAUUCUGUCAGUGAUAGCCUCUUGCGGGAGUUCAAUCCCCAGCUCAGCUAGACGGUUUGAGUACCCAGACAUUUUGAGCACAUGUUCACUGACAGACGAGUUCUCCUCCAUCUUGCAAGCAUAGAAUUUAUCGGAGGUCUCAUACCUCUCGAUCCGGGCAUUCUUCUGAAAGAUAAACUCCAACUCCUGGAACAUCUCAAAUGCUCCAUGAUGCUCAAAGCGACGUUGAAAUGCCAGUUCUAAGCCAUACAAGACUGCACACUGAACUACUGAGUAGUCCUUCUUACGUGUUAACCAAGCGUUCUUAACAUCCUGGUCAGCCGUAGCGGGUGGUUCAUCUCCUAGCGCAGCAUUAAGGACAUAAUCCUUCUUCCCAGCUUCUAAGAUUAGCUUAAGAUUACGAGCCCAGUCUACAAAGUUGCUUCCAUCAUCUUUCAACUUAGCUUUCUCUAGGAACGUAUUAAAAUUCAGGAUGACUGUCGCGUGAGCCAUGAUCUACAACACAAAUAUAUUCAAAGUGGACUUAGACUAUGUUCAAGAUAAUUAGAGUUUAACUUAAUCAAAUUACUCGCUAAACUCCCACUCAAAAAGUACAUCUCUCUAGUCAUUUGAGUGGUUCAUGAUCCACUUACACUAGCUCAAGUCCGAUCAUCACGUGAGUUGAGUAUAGUUUCAGUGGUAAGCAUCCCUAUGCUAAUCAUAUCAUCUAUAUGAUUCAUGAUCGACCUUUCGGUCUCAUGUGUUCCGAGGCCAUGUCUGCACAUGCUAGGCUCGUCAAGCUUAACCUGAGUGUUCCGCGUGUGCAACUGUUUUGCACCCGUUGUAUGUGAACGUUGAGUCUAUCACACCCGAUCAUCACGUGGUGUCUUGAAACGACGAACUGUAGCAACGGUGCACAGUCGGGGAGAACACAAUUUCGUCUUGAAAUUUUAGUGAGAGAUCACCUUAUAAUGCUACCAUCAUUCUAAGCAAAAUAAGGUGCAUAAAAGGAUUAACAUCACAUGCAAUUCAUAAGUGACAUGAUAUGGCCAACAUCACGUGCUCCUUGAUCUCCAUCACGAAAGCACCGGCACGAUCUUCGUGUCACCGGCGCCACACCAUGAUCUCCAUCAACGUGUCGCCGUCGGGGUUGUCGUGCUACUCAUGCUAUUACUACUAAAGCUACAUCCUAGCAAAAUAGUAAACGCAUCUGCAAGCACAAACGUUAGUUUAAAGACAACCCUAUGGCUCCUGCCAGUUGCUAUACCAUCGACGUGCAAGUCGAUAUUAUCUAUUACAACAUGAUCAUCUCAUACAUCCAAUAUAUCACAUCACAUCGUUGGCCAUAUCACAUCACAAGCAUACCCUGCAAAAACAAGUUAGACGUCCUCUAAUUUUGUUGUUGCAUGUUUUACGUGGUGACCAUGGGUAUCUAGUAGGAUCGCAUCUUACUUACGCAAACACCACAACGGAGAUAUAUGAAUUGCUAUUUAACCUUAUACAAGGACCUCCUCGGUCAAAUCCGAUUCAACUAAAGUUGGAGAAAGUGACACUUGCCAGUCAUCUUUGAGCAACGGGUUACUCGUAGCGACGAAUACAGUCUCUCGUAAGCUUACGAGUAAUGUCGGUCCAAGCCGCUUCAAUCCAACAAUACUGCGGAAUCAAGAAAAGACUAAGGAGGGCAGCAAACCGCACAUCACCGCCCAAAAAAACUUUUGUGUUCUACUCGAGAAGACAUCUACGCAUGAACCUAGCUCAUGAUGCCACUGUUGGGGAACGUCGCAUGGGAAACAAAAAAUUUCCUACGCGCACGUAAACCUAUCAUGGUGAUGUCCAUCUACGAGAGGGGAUAUUCGAUCUACGUACCCUUGUAGAUCGCACAGUAGAAGCGUUAGUGAACACGGUUGAUGUAGUGGAACGUCCUCACGUCCCUCGAUCCACCCCGCGAACCGUCCCGCGAUCAGUCCCACGAUCUAGUGCCGAACGGACGACACCUCCGUGUUCAGCACACGUACAACUCGACAAUGAUCUCGGCCUUCUUGAUCCAGCAAGAGAGACGGGGAGGUAGAUGAGUUCUCCGGCAGCAUGACGGCGCUCCGGAGGUUGGUGGUGAUCUAAUCACAGCAGGGCUUCGCCUGAGCUCCGCAGAAACUCGAUCUGGAGGUAAAACCGUGGAGAUAUGUGGUCGGGCUGCCGUGGCAAAGUCGUCUCAAAUCAGCCCUAAAACCUCCGUAUAUAUAGGGGGAAGAGGGGGAGCUUUGCCUUGGGGUCCAAGGACCCUCAAGGGGUUCGGCCGAGCCAAGGGGGGGAGUCCCCCCCUUCCAAACCGAAUCCAACUAGGUUUGGAAGGAGGAGUCCUUCCCCUUUUUCCCACCUCCUCUUUUUUUUCUCUUUGAUUUUCUUAUUAUGGCGCAUAGGGCCUUCUUGGGCUGUCCCACCAGCCCACUAAGGGCUGGUGCGCCACCCCAAGGCCUAUGGGCUUCCCCGGGGUGGGUUGCCCCACCCCCCCGGUGAACACCCGGAACCCAUUUGUCAUUCCCGGUACAUUCCCGGUAACUNCCCCCCCGGUGAACACCCGGAACCCAUUUGUCAUUCCCGGUACAUUCCCGGUAACUCCGAAAACCUUCCGGUAAUCAAAUGAGGUCAUCCUAUAUAUCAAUCUUCGUUUCCGGACCAUUCCGGAAACCCUCGUGACGUCCGUGAUCUCAUCCGGGACUCCGAACAACAUUUGGUAACCAACCAUAUAACUCAAAUACGCAUAAAACAACGUCGAACCUUAAGUGUGGAGACCCUGCGGGUUCGAGAACUAUGUAGACAUGACCCGAGUGACUCCUCGGUCAAUAUCCAAUAACGGGACCUGGAUGUCCAUAUUGGAUCCCACAUAUUCUACGAAGAUCUUAUCGUUUGAACCUCAGUGCCAANNNNNNNNNNNNNNNNNNNNNNNNNNNNNNNNNNNNNNNNNNNNNNNNNNNNNNNNNNNNNNNNNNNNNNNNNNNNNNNNNNNNNNNNNNNNNNNNNNNNGCCCCGACCGACGCCGACGGGUCGACGGAGCGGCCCGGUGGCCUCCCGGCGUCGCAUGCUGCUGCUGGUACUGGUAACGGAUGAACGGAGGAGGAGAAGGACGAAAGCGCCGACCCAACAACCCGCUUUGACCGUCAGCAGCGUUCGUUCGCCUCUCUAGAAGAAAAGCAGCUCAAUUAAUCUAGAGAGAGAGAGGAGGUUAGAGAGAGGGGAAGAUAAGAGAGAGAGAGAGAGAUAGAGAGGGAUGUGAGAGGGGGACGGGACGGGACGGGCGCAAGUGGGCGGGGAUCCACUUGUGAUGAGCGAGCGGGCGCUCACGUUAUCCUGGUGGUGUCAGUUUUUGUAAUGCCACUUGCGCCGCCCACUUGCAUCCGCAUCCGCCCAGCGAGAGAGAGAGAGAGAAGACAAGACCGGACGAGAGGGACUGGAGAGUAAAAUAUGGAAAGAGUCGGGCAGGCGGAAAAGCGCAAGUUGCCCGUCACGCUCGCUCCUCCUCAACGUACUACCAGCAGUACAACUCACGCCCCUGCAACCGCAACCGCAAUGCAAGUGGCCGCGCCGUCCCCCACGCAAACGUCUCUCCUACUGCUCGCAUUCGAUUCGUGGAUUCAGAGGCGUAGCAAGAAGAUCGUGACGGUUCUGUUGUGAUCAACAUCUUUCGAAUUUGACGAAAUGCCAUGAGCAAAAUGCUGACGAGAACACAAUGGAAGGAGAAACUGAAAGAAUAUAUACAGGGAUGUUGAUGAGAGUCCUGCAUCGGCCCAAGCUAUUUUUUACUCCUCCAAUUCCUUUCAAUCUUAUCUUAACUCUUACUACUAGUACCAAGAACAAACAAAGGGGAACCAACCCAAGACUACCAGACUAGAGCUAGGAGCGCCUCGCGAUAAGGAGAAACAGCGAGGGGCCGGGCGAGAAACCGCGCCGACCGAACCGACCCCUCGCCUUCACGCCAGAAGGAAAGCAAGAAGAAGAAGAGAAAAAUAAUCCAUCGCCUCCACCACCACGGAUUUGAUUAAUGAUCGGAAUCGGAGCGCGGUUUUACCGAAACGCCCCUGCGGGCCGAGAG